rnacentral:lncRNA from 1 species
AUAUAUUCUUGAAGUAGGAGAGCAGCAAAAAUUUUGUGGUAUAAUCAAAACUAGUUGAGUAGAAGGUAAGCAUAAAAUAAUUGUUAAGAUAAUUGUCACUUCCCGUUCCUAAGUAAAUUAUCCAUUUUCUUAGAUAACAAUUGAGUGCACUAUUGUCUCCUCUGAAGUAUCUCCUCAUAUGUAGUAUUGCUCUCCAAAGGUUGCUAUUUGCUGAUUCAUCGAAAUAUGAUGCUCUUCCAAAAGAAAAAUCAAUCUUUAAGAUAAUAUAGGUAGCAAUAUGGAUCGUGCCAUAAUAGGCUCAAUCUAGGAUAGUCUCAGUAGAUUUUUUAAUAUAAUAUAUAUAAAAAAGACAUGCAUAUAUAUAUGUGACUUUCUGCACUAGAUGAUACUAUCGUAUCAAGUUCACUCAUUACAGACUGANNNNNNNNNNNNNNNNNNNNNNNNNNNNNNNNNNNNNNNNNNNNNNNNNNNNNNNNNNNNNNNNNNNNNNNNNNNNNNNNNNNNNNNNNNNNNNNNNNNNNNNNNNNNNNNNNNNNNNNNNNNNNNNNNNNNNNNNNNNNNNNNNNNNNNNNNNNNNNNNNNNNNNNNNNNNNNNNNNNNNNNNNNNNNNNNNNNNNNNNNNNNNNNNNNNNNNNNNNNNNNNNNNNNNNNNNNNNNNNNNNNNNNNNNNNNNNNNNNNNNNNNNNNNNNNNNNNNNNNNNNNNNNNNNNNNNNNNNNNNNNNNNNNNNNNNNNNNNNNNNNNNNNNNNNNNNNNNNNNNNNNNNNNNNNNNNNNNNNNNNNNNNNNNNNNNNNNNNNNNNNNNNNNNNNNNNNNNNNNNNNNNNNNNNNNNNNNNNNNNNNNNNNNNNNNNNNNNNNNNNNNNNNNNNNNNNNNNNNNNNNNNNNNNNNNNNNNNNNNNNNNNNNNNNNNNNNNNNNNNNNNNNNNNNNNNNNNNNNNNNNNNNNNNNNNNNNNNNNNNNNNNNNNNNNNNNNNNNNNNNNNNNNNNNNNNNNNNNNNNNNNNNNNNNNNNNNNNNNNNNNNNNNNNNNNNNNNNNNNNNNNNNNNNNNNNNNNNNNNNNNNNNNNNNNNNNNNNNNNNNNNNNNNNNNNNNNNNNNNNNNNNNNNNNNNNNNNNNNNNNNNNNNNNNNNNNNNNNNNNNNNNNNNNNNNNNNNNNNNNNNNNNNNNNNNNNNNNNNNNNNNNNNNNNNNNNNNNNNNNNNNNNNNNNNNNNNNNNNNNNNNNNNNNNNNNNNNNNNNNNNNNNNNNNNNNNNNNNNNNNNNNNNNNNNNNNNNNNNNNNNNNNNNNNNNNNNNNNNNNNNNNNNNNNNNNNNNNNNNNNNNNNNNNNNNNNNNNNNNNNNNNNNNNNNNNNNNNNNNNNNNNNNNNNNNNNNNNNNNNNNNNNNNNNNNNNNNNNNNNNNNNNNNNNNNNNNNNNNNNNNNNNNNNNNNNNNNNNNNNNNNNNNNNNNNNNNNNNNNNNNNNNNNNNNNNNNNNNNNNNNNNNNNNNNNNNNNNNNNNNNNNNNNNNNNNNNNNNNNNNNNNNNNNNNNNNNNNNNNNNNNNNNNNNNNNNNNNNNNNNNNNNNNNNNNNNNNNNNNNNNNNNNNNNNNNNNNNNNNNNNNNNNNNNNNNNNNNNNNNNNNNNNNNNNNNNNNNNNNNNNNNNNNNNNNNNNNNNNNNNNNNNNNNNNNNNNNNNNNNNNNNNNNNNNNNNNNNNNNNNNNNNNNNNNNNNNNNNNNNNNNNNNNNNNNNNNNNNNNNNNNNNNNNNNNNNNNNNNNNNNNNNNNNNNNNNNNNNNNNNNNNNNNNNNNNNNNNNNNNNNNNNNNNNNNNNNNNNNNNNNNNNNNNNNNNNNNNNNNNNNNNNNNNNNNNNNNNNNNNNNNNNNNNNNNNNNNNNNNNNNNNNNNNNNNNNNNNNNNNNNNNNNNNNNNNNNNNNNNNNNNNNNNNNNNNNNNNNNNNNNNNNNNNNNNNNNNNNNNNNNNNNNNNNNNNNNNNNNNNNNNNNNNNNNNNNNNNNNNNNNNNNNNNNNNNNNNNNNNNNNNNNNNNNNNNNNNNNNNNNNNNNNNNNNNNNNNNNNNNNNNNNNNNNNNNNNNNNNNNNNNNAUUGUUUUUGUAUCUCCACUAUUUCUGAUUCAAAAUUUUCUUUUGAGAGGAGCGCACUUGUGACCGUAGAUGGCUGUAUAUAUUUUUUUUACUAAUUAUGUGAUAGUAAAAAAAAACAAAAAUUGAUGCCCAUCAUUCAAAAUAAAUAAAAUAUAAGUGAUUAAGUCUAAUAUUUUUUAUCAUUUGUAAUGAUGUCAUGUGUUAAUCUAAUUUUUGUGCUGACCUUUAAAAAAAAUGUGACGAUAGUUAUUGGAGAAUUAAAUCUUAACCGUACAUUAAUAUAAAUACACGCAUGACAUGAGAUUAAUUAUUAAAACAUAAACACAACAAAUUCAGUAUCGAAUCAAAAUUUAAAUGUAAAACUUGCAUCAAAUUAUCAAACGAGGUCCAAUUUUUAGAAUUCAUGGGCAUUCACAGGCUACUUAUAGAACUCCAUAACCCAUAAAUUACAAGUAAAACAUUCAAAUCUGAUGCCACUAAAUCCAGCUCCAGUAGCCAAGGUAAUGAAUUCAUGCUUUGUUCGCUCCUUUCCUCCCGGAUUUUGAGUCAUCAUCAGCACAUCAAUUUGGGAAUUGUUUUUUGAUAGAGUGCUAGUAUCAGGCAGAUCUGGAAGUAUUGACUCCACACCAAUUACCUUUCCAUCUUCUGGAAUACUUUUGUAGCAAUUCUUCAACAACUUCAAGCAAUGUUCAUCGCUGCAAUCGUGCAAUAUCCACUACAAAAUGUGAAAUAUUAUGAAAUUUGUUUAAUAUCUGCAAAGUAAAUUCAAAUUAAACUUACCUUCAUCAAGAUGGCAUCACCUUUUGGAACACUUUGAAACAUAUCACCCCUGCAUGCUCAACGCCUGUACUACACACAAUUUAAUUUCCUCUGUUAGAAUCUGGCGUUACGGUGGACAGAGUAUUCUUAUGAGCAUUGAUAUUCCGGCAAAAAGUUUAGACACAAAAACAACAGUAAAUCGGGCCUGAUUUUCUCAAUAAAUUUCAAAUACAUAAAUCGAAUUCAGUUUAAAGUCUUUUUGUCGAAAACAUUUCAGCAUUUUCUCUGAUUACCAUGUUCUAAUUAAUAAUUAAUAUAUAUUUCCUCAUAACAAUGACAUUAAAAGAAAAAACGAAGACAGGAUUUUGGGGAAAACCCAAAUAAAUUUUCUAGCCUUCAACCUUCUCAAGGAUUUACAAUUAGUUAGCCAGAUUAAGAAAUUUUUUUAAGAGCUACUAAGCCAUGUCUCUCACAUUAUUGUAAAAAUAAGUGAUAAUUCAUACCAGGAUACCCUGGGGCAUGCUGUAUAACAUGAGGCAAGUCGAAAUUGAUGCCCUUAACGUGAGAAUACUUGGUAGUGAUAGCUUUAAGUGUAUUGCCAAGGCUACCACCGACAUCGACCAGUUGCUUUAUGUGCUUGAAACCAUUGUAAGCCUCAAGAAUUUUCUGGAUGACCAAAGUAGAAAGGUUGUACAUCGCUGUAUUGAAAACUUCAUUGAACCUGGUGUCCAGUCUCGGGUGCUCAAAAGCGUUUGUUCCAUGGACACGAUCAAAUGGAACUCCUCCUUCAAUAAUAGCUUCUUUUAAUUGGGACCUGCACUAUCAAUUAAUCAAUCAGUCCAGAAUUAGAUUCGUAUCCAAAUCCUCUAUUCAUCAGAUCAACAUUUUACAUUUGGCUUACUCUUUUUAGAUUCAUUGAUUCGUGGUUGAUAAAACAUAUAGAUACAUAUAAAUUAUAACUAUGACGAUGUAUACGUAUCCUAAAAUUAUUAAAAGAUACGAUAAGUAUGAGGAUGUAUAUGUAUUGUAAAAUCAUUAAAUGAUAUAGAUACAUAUAAAUUAUAACUAUGACGAUGUAUACGUAUCGUAAACUCAUUAAAAGAUAAGAUAAGUACAAGAUUCAUUUCCUCCCAAAAUCACAAAGAAAGAUAAUGCAUAGUUGUCACCUACGUCUUUAUAAGAGGGUAAAAAAAAAGGAAAUAGGGUCAUGACAUCUUCCGGCUCGGAUACUGAAUUUUUAACAAAAUCACAAAUUAGUUCAUAUUUAGUUUGUAUUGACAUUUCAUGUAGUUAGGUCCUGCUUGUUGUGCGCAGAAUGCAAAAUCAAGCACACCAAAUAAUCACAGAAAAAUAAAUGACACAAAAUUUAACAUGGUUUGACAAUUAUGUUUAUGUCCACCGGAACAAGAGAAAAUAAUUGUAUUACUAACAAUUAUAAUAGUACAAUAUUUAAGUAGAAACCUUACUUCUCAAAAUCUAAAUACACCUAGUAUUCUCACAUACACUUGAAAAGAAAAAACCUCUCAAUUGUUCACUCUCUCAACAAUUCUUCACUUAAAUUAUUGCUCUCAAUUUUAUGAGAUUCUCUCAAAUUUUAAGAUGCUUUAGCUCUAUAAAUGAAGCUCAACUAUAAGUUUAGCUUCACUGUAAAAAGUCUCAAAAGUAGUUGGCAAAAAGUCCUGCAAUUUGGCGCCGAAUUGAAAAACCAAAAAAAUGCAUGCGGUUUGCCAAUUUUUGUCAAGAAAAUCACGCGGUUCAAUAUAUUCAAAAUCCAACAUGCGAGCCCCCUUCUUUACUUUGACUUUUCAACACUGCUGUCUUUAAAAACCCCACGGGAAAAAAAAUCUUUUAAUUGAGCAAAAUUCUACGGAUAAAGUUAAGAAUUUUUUCCUUUAUGAAUUUCUGUCAAAACUAAAGAACAGAAUUCAAUAAAUGCUCUCAAUAGAACUAAAUUCAUUGUCUUUUUCAUACUACUCUCAUUUUCUCUGCAAGUAAAAGACAAAAAUUUCCCCGACGGAGAACACUUUUCUUCUUAUUCUCUGCAAAUAAAACACAAUCAACAAUAUUUCAUCUAUUCUUGAAUUGAUUUGAUUAAAAGUAUAUAUAUAGUAAUGAUUUAUAAGUUUGUUAAGUGUACAUUCUACAUUUUAGUGCUUACUAUUAUAAAUAUACACUUAUGCAUCAAAUAUAGGGAUUUAGUUCAUUUUUUGUUUGUUUGUUUGUACGACGACUGAAAAUGAAUUUAGAAACAAGUUGAGCAUGAGUUGGAGUAUGAUCGGAGAUAUGCAUGAUUGGAUCUGAAUGUUUAGAAAGAUAGAUGCAUUAUUAACCCAUGUGAUGUUAUUAUUCUAAAUAAAAAUAAACUACAGAGAAUUAAAAUGAGAGAGAGCAGGUAUACCAGCUGUCCAGAAACACCUUGUCCUGAAUUAAGGCCAUUAAGGGGCCCAAUGAGACACCAUCUUCGUUAGGCACAAAGUAUCUGGAAACAUUACUCUGACCGUAGAGUCUCUGAGAACCAUCUAUAUCAUCUAGUGAGCAUUCAACAACACCAUGGCUAUCCAGAAGCCUGAGUAUCCGGUCCAACAUCAUGGGUGCGUCUUUGUUCUUGGUGGCAGGCAACUGAGCUGCAAUCUCUGAAGCUGAGAGCUUUGCUCCAGGACCAGCUUUGGCUAUGAUCUUGAAAACUCCCAGCUCAAUUGCUGCUUGCAUGGUCAUGGGGAGCACUGAACCCGUCACCAAUUGAUUGGCAUAUGCAAAGCUUGCGUCUCUCCUUCAUUAGCCAUAUUUUGUUGAAUUUCCUUAUCUGUUUUGCUAAGAAACAAUGCGAUUAUAGUGGUGUGAAGAUUGAUUGGCCUGUCCAAAAGGAUAUAGCUUAUUAUAUAUUGGUAUAUAUGAGCUAGUUUCCGUUUUCUUUCCUCUAGCUAUUUUGAAAAUAUUGAAGUGAAAGUUGUUGAAUGUACAGGAUCAUUUGAGGGAGCCUGUACCUCCACAAAUAAUGUCAGUGUUUUCAAAUUUAGAGACUGUAACCUGUUGUUUAUUUCUAAAAUUUAAAUAAAGAAAUAACUAACAAACUAGCUUGGACUCUAACUACUCCAACAGCUAACCUGACUUAUUCAAAUAAUGAAAGAAACAAAUAAAAUCAAUUAACUGGAACAAAAUCUAGAACAUGUAACAUAAUGGUUCUCUUAUUUUAAUAUGAUAAAAGGACAAACUAAAAGAUAGAAAAUUAUAAAUUUUGAUAAAAUAUAAAAUAAAAAUGUUUUCUUUUUUAUUUAGCUUAUCUCUAACUUUAUUAAAAUAUGAGAUCAUUUAUUAAAAAUAAAUAAAAAAGGAUGAAAGAAGUCAUAUUAUGUAUAAAGUAAAUUAACAAUAAAGUAAUUCCUUACUUUAUUAAAAUAAGGUAUAAUUUAAAAGAUAAAAAAUACAGAUUUCAAUGUACUACAUGUAACAUUUCACAUUAUUAGCGAGAGUUUUGAGACUAGUUUAUAAGUUAUGGGUUCUUAACUAAGCAAACAUGACGGGAUAUGUACCCAACAUGGAUAGUAUCUUCUUGGUUAAUGGGCCUAGGGUAUUAAAGUUAGUAUCAUAAACAACUCACUACCUGAUGUAUGGAUGGAUAUGUUAUUGGUAUGAUUGUAUCUCAUUCUGUUAUGAGGAUCAAGGGGAGAAACAUUUAACAUCUUAUUGGUGUGAUUUCAUUCUGUCCCAUUAUGAGGGUCAAUGGGGGAAGCAUGUAACAUUUCACAUUGCCAGUAAGAGAGUUCUUGGGCUAGUUUAUAUGCUAUGAGUUCUUCUAACUAAGAAGAUGUAUUUUGGGUUACAAGCCCAAUCAUAAAACAAUAGUGGGUUGUAUAUCCAAAGCGGAUAAUAUCUAUUUGUUUAGUAGGUUGUGUAUCUAUUAUGAUAAAAUUUUAAUGAUUCCUAAUUAUUUUAAUAUUAUCUAUUCACACCCCACUAAAACUCGAAUUAAACAUGAGCCCUAAGUAGACUGCUCUUUACCACAUGAGUUGAACCUUAAUUUAUAUGUAACAUCCCAUAUUGCUAGGGAGAUAGUUGUCGGACUAAUUUAUAAGUGACAAGCUCUCGUAACUAAGCAAAUGUGUUUUGGACUGUAAAGUCUAAUAACAAAGUCGUGACGGAUUGUGUGCCCAAAGCGAACAAUAUAUAUUUGGUUAAUGGGUCUAGGCUAUUAUAAUUAGUAUAAGAGCUUACUCAUGAGCCGAUGUGUCGAUUGAUAUGUUAAUGAUACGAUUUCAUUCUAUUCUGUUUCCAAUGAUCCUCACGAGAACGCAAGGUCCUUAAGGGGAAAGGAUGCAUUGCUAACAAGGAGUUCUUGGAGCAGUUUAUAAGCCAAGCACUCUCCUAACUAAGCAAACGCGCUUCGGGUUAUAAAGUUCAAUAACAAAAAAAGUGACAAUUGUGUGCUAAAGCUAAUAAUAUCUACUUAUUGGGUAUAAACUCUUAUAUUAUAAGAUAAAAUAUACUAUAUUAAAAUAUGUAUUUUUCUUCUUUUAACUUAUUUCUUAUUUUAAUGAAAUUAUUUAUUAAACAAUUACAACAUAAAAACCUAUUUAUAUAUAUAAAUAGAAAUUUUUGGAGGGAAACUUAAAAUUUUAUUUUCAUAUUGAAAUAUCUAUCUUACUAUAUUUAUAAAAGAUAUAUCUAACGGCAUCCAAGUAUAUACUUGAGAUAAAAUUAAUGGCUGAUGCAUGGAAUGAGACUCAAUUGCGAAAAAAGAUCUUCUCCUGACUUGAUCUUUUCUGAACUUUUCAAGAUUUUUAGUCAUGCGUCUUUUAAUGGUAGUGUAUGGGUAAGAUUCAACUUUUUUUAUUUUUUUAUUUAUUAACUACCAAUCAGUAAUUAUGAAAACAAAUCCUCUUCUUUUAUUUACUCAGUAUAUGAUCAAAUCGGUGAUCCCUCAAUUGCAGCCUCUACGCUUACACAAUCACGUUUGCCAAAAAGAAAAGUUGAGACAGUGACUCUUAUCAAAAAUAAAAUUAAAAAAAUUGAGACAACGAUUUUUUCAUCAUUUUUAAUUUGAUGCAUUAAUUGCAGUGGGCAAAAGUAAUAGGAGAACCAUGUGUUGUGUCAGUAUUCUUUCGUUUUUUAGAAGUAAAAAUUUAAGUAGUAAUUAAUAAUUAAUAAAUAAAUAAUAAUUAAUUAAAAUUUACCUAUUUACUAUAAUUAAAAUAAGGGUCUUGUUGAGUGACGAUCAAUGUAAUUUACGGCUCUUGUAAUAUAGUCCCAUUACCUUAUUAUAAAUUUUUGCAUAUUUUACAUAGAUUAUAAGUUAAUCUUUAAAAUAAACAUAAUACAAAAUCUUUAAACAUUAAAAAAAUUUAAAUUAAAAAAAAUUCUCAUCAGCUAGGACCAUGAGAACAGGCCAACCCAUUGUGAUUCUUACUUCUCCCUUUAGCUAUUGACAAGUCACAGGACAUAAGAGAGGGUUAGUAAUGGAAGCGUGGAUGACAUUGUUGUAAAUAAACAUAAUUCACGAAGGAUAAAAAGGAUGAUGUUAAUAUUUCUUAUGAGAAUAAAUCUCAAUUUGGAUGAUACAAUUAUACAAGGUGAGAAUUUACUUAUUUAUAGCAAAAAAAAUGUUGCUACGGUUAAAAUUUUGACAAAAUGCAUAAAAAUAAUUAAAAUAUUUUGAUAAUAAAAGACUAAAAUAUCUUCGUUAGUAAUGUCAUGCUAGAUGGAUAGUAAUGUCAUGCUAGAUGGAUAAUACAACUUAGCUACCUAACUUAGGUUGGCUAUAUCGCAUUUGGCGUCGGCUUGUAAAUUAGCACUUGACGGUUUAGCCUCCAGUCAAUCCAAACGGUGCUUAAUUAGGUAAGGCGUAUUUCACAAAGACAUGCCAUCCAUCUGUCACGUCAGGUGAUGCGCAUGUAACCAAAACAACCGUUAUCAAAGUAGGCACAUGCGAAGGCUUAUUUUUCCAAGGGUAACAAGCUAAUUAGCUAAGACUAUCAUUAAAAGCCUCUUUAAAUGAGAUUUUAUUAUUUAUUUAAAGAGUCAUAUAAAAAAAAGUUUUAAAAAACUCUCUAAAUGAGAUAUUUCAAAUAAAAUAGUGUUUCUCUCUAUUUAAUAUUAAAAAUAGAGAAAUACUAUUUCAUUUGAAGAAAUUUAUUUAGAGAAUUUUUUAGUGCCUUUAUUUAAUACUAUAUUUUUUUCUCAAAAUUCUUGAAGAAAGAGAAGUAUUAUAAUGACUAUUAUUUUUUUAGAGAAAAAUUUUGAUUAAAAUAAUAUUUUUAUUUUUAUUUAAAAAAUCUUUUGAAAAGUAACUUCAUUUUUUACUCUUCUAUUUAUUAUAUAGAUAAAUAAAUAAGUAUUUAAAAAAUUAAAUUAAAAGAGUUAAACAUAUUUUUCAUUCUUGUUUUGACAAAUUUAAUCUGUUGAUUCAUCUUCUAUCCUAACGGGUAUUAACAAAUGUAAUAAUAAUAAUAUUUUUAAGGAGAUCUUAACCAUAUUAAAGUCAAUCAUUAACCAUAAUAAAGUUAAGAAUAAAUUAAAAUACAAAAAAAAAACACAUUUUUAUAUGAUAUAAUACACUGCAUUAAAAUUUAUAUUUUUUUAUCUUUUAAAUUAUUCCUAACUUUAAUAUGUAAAAAUUCUUGAUUGGAACGUAUAUUUCCAAAUUAAAUUUGAGUGAAGUAUGUUUAUAAAAUUUUAGAAUUACAAAUGGCAUGUUAGCAAAUUAGUAACUACUAAUGCUCGAUGAUAAUUAACAUUUUUAUGCUAAUGAAGUAAUGAUAAACUGAGUCAAUAAGGGAGCAGAUCAUUAGUCCUCUGAAAAUACCGUUAUUUUUACAUUUGUUAAUAUAUGUUAGAUAGAAAAUGAAUCAAAAGAUUCGAUUUCUCAAAAUAAUUUAAGUUUUUUCUCACCGUGCGUGGUUCGAGCUUAAUCACUAUUUCUCUCUCUCUCUCUCUCUCUCGUCAUUCUUAUCUCUCUCUCAUCUUUUUCAAGCGUUAACUUCAGCCAAGAUGGAUUACAUAACAAAACAAACAAAUCAAAAAAAAAAAGAAAAAAGAAAAAUCAAAACAAGAAUGAAGAAAAAUAAAUAGCACCAAUUUAAUUAUGGCAUGUGCAUAAUUAAUCGAGUCUGAAAUAAAACUUACAACAGACAUCAAUUUAACCUCAUAUAAAAAAUAAUAAUUUUUUUAGAAUAACUUAUUUAUUUAUUUUGAGACACAGUAAAGUUGCAACGGGUGGAAUUCCAGUAUUAAUAAGCCUUACAUUCAUGGUGAUCAUCAACAGAAAAGAGAUGAGAGAGAGAAAGAGAGAGAGUAUGUCAGAGUACAUGAAAGUUAAAGAAAAUGUAGAAGGGAGAGUGAUUGGAUGGGGUCCACAUGUGGAGAGAGAAAACUUAAAUUAUCUUUAAUCCAAUAAAUAUUAAUAAAUAUAAAAAGGGUAUUUUUAGAGGGCUGUUCAUAUGCCUGCAUAUAUGGUGUGUGUAUGUGUGCACAAACAGUCUCUUUUUAGUACAAGGAUUAUUAUUUUUUUAUACGAACAAGUUUUUAAAUAAUGUAAUUUAAUAUAAUUAGAUUUGAAUAUUAUAAAUAAUAUAAUUUUAUAAUAUAUUAAAAAAAUUAUAUUAAAUUACAAGACUUAAGAUCGUGUCUGUAUUAAACAAAUGAGUAUGCCACUCCUCGAAUAUAUUCUAGGACUAGAAAAUAGAACCGCGCUUCACGCAACUUUGAAAAAAGAAUUUACUAUUAUCUUUUUUUCUUACUUUAUACUUGAUGAAACUGAUAAAAAAUAUGAAUUGGUUUUUUUUUAAGAUGAGGCAGCCUUAUAAAAAACAGAAAAAGCUAUUAGCCAGCAAUACAAAUAAAGAAGCAACACAAGAUAAAGAAUAAAAUGAGAGAAUAUAUUAUAGAGUAAUUUUAUUCAUUCCAAUUAUGUGUGUACAAAACAAAAAGAUGAGCUCUCCUUUUAUAGUUACAUAAUCACUCCAUGAAAUUAAUGAAAAAUUAUGAAUCAUAAUUUCUUGUGAGAUAGUGGGAGUUAUAGGGAAGCUAAAUGUUGUUAAUGGGAGAUAGUGGGGAGACUAUGAGAUAUAUGUUAUGAACAUCUACAUUUAUUUUAAUAAAUUCAUAGCACUCCUCCUUGGAUGUUCAAUACAAAGAAUAUGCCUCAUUAAAAUCUUUACAUAAUUGUUAUUGUGUAAUAACAAUCAAAUUAAUUAUGAGAAGAUGAAAAGUCAAAUCUAAAAGAAAAUUUCUCUAUUUAUUAGAUAAUAGAGAAUGUACAAAGAUGAGAAAUUGUGAUGGUUGUCGAAGCUAGCAAAAAUAAAUACCUACUCUAAAUAAAUUGUGUAUAGUGAUUGAGUAGGGUCGUGUCCACAGAGAUCGGUAAUUAUUUAAAUCCUUUAAAAUAUAAAAUGCAAAAUGGGGGAAUUAUUGACAAUAAUAAAAAUUAAAUUAAAAUAACAAGAACGCAAAUUAAAAUUGUAAUUCAAAUUGGAGAAAAUUCUGGUUGAAGGUAUUAACUCAGCUUGAUUCGACUACUGAUAAUUGAUUCAAAUAUAAAUUAUUAUUACUUAUGAAUAGACCGGUUAUAGCUACUGAGACCCUCUAAUAGCCAAUCUCUCCUUAACUAGUCGAUAACCAAGGUACGACCGUUGGUUAUUUCCCUAAUCAAUAGACAACCCUAGAUACGAUCAUAUUUUUUUUGGAAUUUGUCCCUACCAUCUAAGAUUAAACUCUUUUAUUGGAGAGCCUUUUCCAAUAUCCUCUCCACUUAUUUAAAUUUGCACCAAAGGAAAAUACUAGUUGCUCCUUCAUGCCCUCGUUGUGGCUUUGCUUACGAGGAUCAAUAUCACGCGUUGGUGGGGUGUCAACUAGCAAAGAAGGUAUGGAAGCGCACGAGAUUUUAUUCAUGCCUAAAGAUAUUAGUGUCCAUGGAGUUUUCUAAUUUGUCCAUUCACUUAUCAUCUACAUUCACAAAAGAUGAGUUCGAAGAAUGGGUGGUCUUGUGUUGGUCAAUAUGGCUAGCUAGGAAUCAUUUGAUUUUUUGUCAUACUAUCAGUGAGCCUCACGCAAUUGUCGCCCGAGCUGCGAAUGCAGUGAAUUCAUAUCGAGAUAAUGUUCUGCAAUGCGGCACCAACAAGAGUAUUAACCCUAAAACUCCCAGCCCGGGUUGGCAAAGUCCUCCCCUACCAUGGUACAAGAUGAACAUUAAUGCAGCUGUUAGCUCUAAGGAAGCUCGUGCUGGCAUAGGAAUGUUAAUCCGCAACUCGCAAGGUGAGGUUAUGGCAGCAUCUAAUUGCAGGGAGAUUUCUACCGACAAUAUAGAUUUUCUAGAAGCUCUUGCAAUACAAAAAGGAAUCCAAUUGGUGAAGGAUAUUGGGUUGGUUCUAGCUAUCAUUGAAUCAAAUUCUCUCAAUGUUGUUAAUCUCAUUAACAACAAAAUCCACAACAGAUGUGAAGUGGGAUGGCUAAUCUCCAACAUUCAAGAGGCCUUAUCUUCUUCCAAGAGCACUUUCCAAGUGAAUCAUACUCCAAGGUCUUGCAAUGAAGCUGCACAUCAUCUAGCUAAAUUAGUUAUAUGUAAUUCCAAAGAGAGAGUGUGGUUAGAGGAAGCUCCAACUGAGAUCUCAGCUUAUAUAUGUACAGACAAAUCCAUGUAAACGCUUUCUAUUAAUAAAUUUUACUUAAAAAAAAUCAAUUAUUAUUUUGACAAGUAGCUCGGACUACUAUGCAGUCCCACGGAGAGGAUAGUGUAAUAUAGACUAGAGACUUUGUGUUUAAAGACUUGUGUUUUAUUUGAAUAUUGUUUGUGUGGUGAGUGUUUACGUCUAGGUGCCUUGGUAGCAUUUGGUCGUAAGUCCCGAUUUGGUUGAAGGGCAGUAAAACCAAUUCUUAACCUUGGAUUGUAGCCAUACCAACAAGACUAAAAUUAGGAUAUAGGUUUUUAACCAUAGAUUCUCUGCUCUGUAGAGCAUCGUCCUUUUCUAGCUCUUCUUUUGAAAGAACUAGUGAUUCAAAGAAUGUUGUGAAUUUGGAAGAAUUUGUAAUUGAAGACUUUAAUAAAGCUAUUGAUAACUGGGAAUUACCAAAAGUUAAUAAAGAAAUGAUUUACAAAAUAAAAAAGCUUGAUUUUCUAAAGAAUGAUUAUGUUAUAAAAACCGAAGAACGUGAUAUAACCCUUUCAAAGCCUUUUGAAACAAUUCAUUUGUUUUCAGAACAAUCUUUAAAGAAAUUAAAAGACAAAAAUUUUAAUUAUGUUCACAUCGACUUAAUACAAGUUGGUAUAAAACCCUUAACAAAAGAAGGCUUAAAUACCUCCAUACUUGCAGUCCUAAGAGAUGGGAGAUUCAUCUCUUUUGAUGAUUCUUUACUAAGUAGUAUAGAAUCAAGUCUUUGUAAAGGUCCCAUUUCAUUUAAUUGUUAUCCGAACAUAACAAUUUCUUUCAAAGACAAAAACAUUCUAAAAAGCAUGAUUUUACAAAUCAAGACCCACAAUUAUGAUAUGAUUGAGGGAUCUAUUCCUGUAGCCUUAAUUUAUAAAAUUUCUUACAAAGCCAAGAUUUCUGCGUUUAGUACGCAACAUAAAUUUCAGUCAAAAAGAGAUGAGACUCUUCUCUUGCAGACUGACCUGUCUAAAGCCAACACCAUUAUUCCAAAACCAAUCCAAUGGAAAGAUGUCAAUCUUCCAGACGAAUAGAUACUUGAAGGAGCCACUGCUCUAGUAAUUCCAAAACAACUUGAGCCAAAUACAGAGUUGCAAAAUGUGACUCAGUAUUCAGAUGACAAAGUCAAAUUAUCCUUUCGGAGAUCUAUGUCAUCAAGAUUCUCCGAUAAAGAUUCAUGUUCAAGCAUUCCUUCACUAGAAAGAAAAUUUUCAAAAAUUCCCCCCGUCAUAAAUCUUCCUUAUCAAUCGGUAAAAAGUCAACCUAGGUUUUCUACAUCAGACAUACCUAGCUCCUCUAUUCACUCUGUUGACUAUACCACUAGUGUACCUCACCCAAUCUACACUAGUAGUCAACAUGAACAAAGACAGGAAGAGAAGGAACCUUCUCCUCCAACUUCUCCUACUUUUUUGGCUGUCACAGAAAAUGUUAUAAAUGUCAUAGAAAAAGAUUUUGAAUUAGAUAAAACUCUUCUUCACAAUGAUUUUUUUUCUGAUUCUAAUAAAGCGAAAAGACUUUGGUUUUUCAAACAUUUUUUAAACCAAAGAAAAGAAAUCCAACAAAUCUAUUAUGAGUUUGUAAAUUUGCAUAAAGUUCAUAUAUUGUUUUUUGAUUAGUUUGAGAUGUAUGCUUCUGAUAACAACAUUUCUUAUCCCUUUAAAGAAUCAAACCUCAUUACUAUUCGAAAGAAAAACGCAGAAUGAAGCCUUACUAGUAGUGGUAGAAUCAUAGAAUCUGAACAUCCACCUCUUAGGAGCUUAACCAUCGAACAUGGUGAGCCUCCUAUAGAGAUUAAAGCCUCACCCUAUAAAAUCCAUAAAGAUCUAGAGACAGAUUUAGAUAGCAUUAUCCAACAGAACAAUUUCUGCAAUGCUAAUCUAAAUACAAUAGGAAAACAGUUGACUAGAAUAGAAAAUCAAUUCCAAAAGUCAACCAUAACUGUUUCUCCUGUUAUUUCAAAAUCGGAUUCUGAAAAAAAGCUUAAAGAGCCUAUUUUCAAACCUUUUCAGGUUUCGAAAACUAGUCAAAAGCUUGUCCAAGAGUCAAAAUCAGAUUUUGCUAACGCCAUCAGAGACCAAUUAGACAGAAUAUAAGCUUCUUCUUCUUCUUCUAAGGUCCAGAUAGCCCCAGAUAGUGCUCAAUCUAGUAAGAUUGGUGUACUAGAAUAUGACAAUGUUUCUAUAGCCUCUUCAGAUAUAGAAGCAUUUAAAGAAGAACCGUCUGUUCCUAAAGCCAACAAAAUCCAUUGGGAAUUAGCCCUACCUACUGUCAAGUCUCCACCUGAUUUGGCCAUAGACAACAGGCCUAGUGCAUUAAACCAAUCACGAUUUAAUGCAUCCUCCGUCUAUGAGUGGAACAUUGAUGGUAUGUCAGAGUACAACAUCUUAGGAUUGUUGCAACAAAUGACCAUGGCAGCCAAUGCCUAUAAAACCCAGUCGGGAACUUCUGACAAAGCCAUUGCAGAAAUUCUCAUAGCUGGUUUUACUGGUCAACUUAAAGGUUGGUGGGAUCAUCUUCUCACCAAACAGCAACAAUUAGACAUCCUAGAUUCUAUUCAAACUGAUGAGAAUGGAGCCCCCAUUCUCGACGAGUUCAAUAGUCCGAUACAGGAUGCUGUUGCCACCCUGAUUCUAACCAUGUCUCUCCAUUUCAUAGGUGACCCUUCACACCUUAGAGAUAAGAAUGCUGAGUUACCACACAACUUGAGGUGUAGAAAGCUUAGUGAAUUCCAAAGCUACAAAACCACAUUCUUUACCAAACUCUUCCUUAGGGAUGAUGCAAAUCAUGUAACUUGGAAGAAAAAAUUCCUUGCAGGUUUACCUACCCUACUGGGAGAAAAGGUUAGGAAUUCCAUUAAAGCCCUUUUUGAUAACCGUAUUCCUUAUGAUGAGCUCACCUACGGUGAACUUGUCAGUUUUGUUAAUAAGGAAGGUUUAAAGAUUUGUCAGGAUUAGAAACUUCAGAAACGGCUAAAAUGAGAGCUUAGAAAAUCUAAGCAAGAAUUAGGCAGUUUCUGUAAGCAAUUCAAUUAUGACCCCUUUAAAACUUCUGCCUCUAAAGAUUGUAAUGGUAAGUGUUCUACAAAACCUUACAAAAAACAUUGCAAAUCAAAAACCCAUAGAAAACCUUUCCAAGACUUUAGAGAACUUUCUUAUAAGAAACCUUCGAGGCCUUAUAAGAAGCCCAGUUUCUCUAAGAAAAAAGACUUCAAACCCAAACAAAAAACCCCUUUCAACUACAAAGAAGCCGCGUGUUAUAAAUGUGGAAAGAAAGGCCACAUUGUAAAAUUCUGUCGAAUGAGCAGAAGGCUCCAUGAGCUUGAUCUUGAUGAAGAAAUAUUUUCUAAAAUUGCCCCUUUACUUAUAGAGUCUUCUGACUCUGAGUCUUCCAUGACGGGAGAUAGUGAGCCUCUACAAGUAGAUGAGUUAAUUGACUCAGAUACUUCUGUAUCCAGUGAUAGUAAUUCUGACACAGAAUCCUAUUUAAAGAAGAUUAAUGUGUGUGUGUAUAUAUAUAUACAAUGAAAAAUGUGAUCCACAAGCUGAAAAUCAUGAGGCAUAAUGAAUCCAACUAAUUAACAUUGAUUAUGAUUAGCUCAAAGCAUGCAUUGAAUCAACAACUGAUUAUAAAAACUAUAAAUGAUCAUUUGAAGUGAUAAAACAAUAAAUUGAUAUCCAUUAGAGGUUAGCCACUUCUUGUUUAUUGAUCUUUAGUGGGAAAAGUAUCAACGAUGUCUUUGGGCUUUGCAAUAUGAGGUCCUCAAGAGGAGAACUAUGUAACAUUUUACAUCAUCAAUGGGAGAGUUUUAGACUUUAUGAGCUCUAAGCUCUCCUAACUAUACAUGCAUGUUUUUGUUGGAUUUUUAAUAAAGUAUUGUUGGAUCCUUAAUUUAAUAUAGGGCUUAUAUGUGAAUAAUUAUGUAUUGCAAACUGCCAUAUAAGGGUAAGUCCAAUUAAAAGUGAUCUAUUAAGGUUUUCAGCAAUAUGAGCUUUAAUGUAUAUGAUAGGGUGUGGAUCUUGAAUGUGUAGAGACUUAAAGGUAAUUUUUAUUUCUAUGAUGGGCUGAAAUAAGAAUACUUAAAAACAAUAGAAAAUUUUAGUCUAUAUAAGUAGUCAUGGUCUCCAGCUCACACGUAUCAUUCUAUUUUUUCUGACAUCAAAUCAUCAGAGAGAGUACAAAGAAAAGUAAAAGAUUCUCUAGGAGAACGUGUUGAUCUAGAAGGCCAACCAUAUGACUCAAGAGCAAUUAAGCAUUUUGGAUUCAAGUACGCUUUCACAUAAUUUGUUAUUGAUUUUUAGUGAUACAACAUGAAUGUUCCCGGAUUAUAAAUGAUGAUUUUCACCAAAGGAUUUCUUGUUUUAAUAAGUGCUAUCAGAGCCUCUUCAUGUUGAAGUCUUCGAGCAUCAAAUUUAUUUUGGAUUAAUAAAUAAAGUUUUGAUUUUCUCAAAUUUUGUAUCAUUGAAUUUGAUAAAAAUUGUGGCUGUUUUUUUGUAUUUUUUAAAGGAUUAAUUAAAAAAAUCUGGGUUAUUAAGGAACCAUUACCGCCGACGUUAAGGCUUUCGAGCCAACAAGAGAGCCACGACCACCAUGCAAAAGAAUAAAAAGAAAAAGGAAGAUAAGGUUUAAAGUUUUGGGGCUAUGGCUUCAGGCCAUACGAGGCAUGGCCCAAACAUCAAGCAAGCCAAGAAAGCGGUUGCUACAUCAAGAACAUAAUAUAUAUAUAUAUAUUUGGCGCGACUGUUGGUUGCACUUGCAAUCAAGACGCGGCGACCUGGCUACAACAGAUUUCUUAAAAGCGGCUACCACAGUCGUGGCCUUAGGACAGAAGAAAAGAAAGGCAAAAAAAAAAAGGGGGUUAAGGUUAGGGUUAGGGUUGGACUGGGAUCCAACCCUAGUCCGAAUGAAGAGUGGGGCUAAUAGUCAAUGGUCAAUAGUUGAUUGUUGACCGUUGACCGUUAAUUGAACUUUGAUCUAGUUUUUUUAGGCUAAAUUUUGGUGCAAUUUUAAAUUCAAAUAUUAAUAUGUUAAUAUAUAUAUAUAUAUAUAUAUUAAAGCGUCUUGUAUGAAUAAAGUUUGUCGACCAACAUUUUCAAGUUAGGACAAGUAAUAUGUUAGUAGUUACAUUAUAUUUACCUUGUGUUAUAACUAAUCUAAUUAUGCAGAAAAUGAGUCGUGUCAAUAAGAACAUGAGAGCUUUGAACAAGUAUAAUCACCGCCUUAGUCGAAAAGGAUACAUUGGAUUAAUGAAAGAAAUUGUAAUUGUGUUAAAUAUUUAAAUUGUUGAUGAAAUAAUUUAUAUAUCAGUUAAGUGUGUAAAUUUUUUGCUUUGUUAAAUAUUUAUUAAAGGUUUAGUUAACUACUAAAUUUUUUAACCGUUAACUAGUCUAAUUUCUUUGUCGAAGUAAUGUGCAGAAUCAGGUCUUUUGGAAAAGUUAAUUAACAGGAGUGAACUAUGGAAGAGAGCUCAGAUGCUAAAGAAUGGAGGAUACGACUUUGAAACCAAACAAAUCAUUAAGAAAAUGGUGAUCAAGUUUAACUAGAACAAACAUUCUUAUGAUAUUAGAUCUAUGCUCAUUUAAUAAUAUUAGUUUCUUUAUGGUGGGCUAUUAGGAAAUGCUAGAGAAGGGAGGACAAAAAAGACUCAUUCAAUUCUGAUGCAAGAAAUGACUUACUUGCACAAGCAUUGGGAAAGCUUCCUUGAACUUGUCAUAUGCAAGGCUUGGGCAAAUUUAUUUAUGCUUCUAUGUACUUUCACUGCCUGCGUGGACCCAUCCGAAAUGAGCGAGAGGGGGAGCUGGAUGCUUGGAAAAAAUCAGUAGAUGAACAGUUGCGAGAAAUUUACAAGAAUUGAAGAGGACACCUCGCCAUUCAGAUGUUUGAAGUUCCACUUUCCCACAUAAUAUGGUCGAUGAUGACAGUGAAGGAGAUGUACAUAAGGUACUUUAGUUAUCUAUGUUACCCAAAUAUUUCCUGGUUUAAGUAUUUUUCCUUGUAUAUCUUCCACUCAUUAGAGUUUAAUUUAUUUACUAUUUGUCGAUAAUGCUAACAGGAACUGGAUAAUUUAGGGAAGUCAACUGUGAAGAAGAGGAAAUGGAUGUCUGGUCAAAGGGAUGAACAUCCUAAAGUAUCAACACUAAGAAAGAAGGAAGAAGUUCAGAAGAAAGAAGAGACACUAAAAAAUAAAACUACUGCCAUUCCGAUGAAGCCAAAAAUGAUGACAGUGAAGGAGAUGCACAUAAGGUUAGUUUAUUCAUAAUAAAUGGUUGUAUUUUUCCUAGAUUAUGAUUUAUUCUCUUGUAUAUUUACUAUUCAAUCUAGUUUAAUAUACUUACUAUUUCAUAUAAUUAAUCUUCAUAGGAGGUAGAUAAUUUGGGCAAGCCACCAGCAAAUAUCGCUGCUACCAUUCCGGUGAAGUCAACAAAAAAUGAAGGCAGUGAAAGAGAUGUGCACAAGGUUAGUUAAUAAAAUUAACUAUAUUUAAGUUGUUUUUGUCUUUGUAUGUGAGAUUUUUUUUUGUUGCCUAAUUGUUUUAAUUAAUAUAACUAUACAAGUCAAGUACAAUGUUUAAAACAAGGGCCAAGUUGCACAAGCUAGCUUUGCAGCCACAACAUAUUUAUAUAUAUUGCUGCAUACUCUCUCUCUCUCUAUAUAUAUACAUAUAUGUGUGUGUGUGUGUGUGUGUGUGUGUGUGUGUGUGUUUGUGUGUGUGCGCGUGUGUGCGCGCGCGUCUUAUUAGAAUUAAUUUUAAAAAUGCAAUUGCAAAUCACCCAGUGAAAUGUGUGUGGCCCAUUUUUAAAAAACUUUAUUGGCAUCAAUGCUUGAAUUAUUCUUAGGAGUGAAAAAAAAACUUAUAUUUACUUACAAUUUCAUAUCAUUAACAUCCACAGGAGCCAAAUGAUUUGGGCAAGCCACCAAAAAACACUAUUGCUGCCAUUUUGAGGAAAAGUCCAAGACUCAAUCCUUCAAUCCCAAAGGAUUAUGCAAAUGAUGAGAGGAAAAUAGUUGAAAGCAGUAACAAGCAAUUGGAUUUUGAUUGCAUUGAUGGUACAACUGAUGGUAUACAGGAGAUGCAUCCUGACAGUCCAACAAAAAAUCCACUUUUGAAAAAGGAUAAAGUAACAAAGUUGUAGUGCAGCCUAUGAGGAACACAAGGAGUGCAAUAUUCAAGCACCAGAACAAUGAUCCUAUGCUGCAACUAUUUGAGAAAUUGUGUGGGAAAUACCUGCCUGAUGAAAAUGAUAGUGUUCUGACAUAUAUGAUUGAUGAUAAUGUAUUCCAAAGACAUGCUUGUGCUUAUAUUGGGAAGAAAGAUUGUAAUGAAUUGUUGUCAAUGCAAGCACUAGGAGUAAAUGCUAUUCAAGUAUGUAUGGCGUAAGUGGUUUAAUGAAUUUUCUUUACACUAUUUUAUAUCAACUUAGUAUUUUUUUUUAUUAAUUACUGAUUUUCUAUUCAGGAUGUUGGAUUCCACCAUUCUACCAACCAGAAAAUUAAUAAAACCAUUUGGAUUCAUGUGUCCAAGUUUGGUUUGCCCAACAAAUCCAAAGGCUGUAGAAAAAUUUCGCUCAAAGAGAGUUGAGCAUAUUCACGACCGCUUGAAAAAAUCCAAAAAACAGACAACUCAUUCUCAUGCCAUACAAUCCUUCAUAAGUUUUAAUUUUCAUUUAAAACUUUUACAGUUGUUUAUGAAUUUAUAGUACUUUUACAACUGUUUGUUAAUUCAUGGUUUUGUUUUCUACUUUUUUUUCCAAUUGCCUUCUCCGUCUUGUUGCUACCAUUGGGUUUUAGUUGUGUUUGACGUGGUGAAAAAGAAAGUGUUUUAUGUGGAUCCUGUGCAGUCAAGUCCUGACACUAAUUUAGAACAGCUCCUUAAAAUGUAGGGAAAAGGACACAAACACCCCCAAUGUUUAAGUAAGAGACAUAAAACCUCCUAAUGUUUCAAAAAAGACACUCAGACCCCCAUUUGGUAACAGAAAUCGUUCCGUUAAAUCAUUAAAAGGUUAAUAUUGUAAUUGCAGAUUAAUAUCGAAUGAAUUGACCAAAAACCCACACACACUUGACACACACAAACAGAACACACGCACGCUUAACACACACGAACAAAACACACACACACCCUUAACACACAAACAAAUCACACACACACUUCUCCCAGAUCUUGUGGCUACCGAAAGUUACUGGAACUGCUCGCGCUGCCGCAAGCUGCCAGAACACUGCCUCUUAUUGCUGGAACUGUUCGCGAUCGAGGAAGCCACUGGUGUGCUGCUUGUGCGUCGAUCGAGAUCGAUUCUGGCUACUGGAACUGCUCGCGUUUGGCUGCUGCUCGUGCGUCGCUGCUGCUCGUUCGAUCGAGGAACCCGCGUUUGGUUGUUGCUCUUGCUUUGGAAUCCAGGUUUCAAUUCUCUUAAAACUAAUUUUUCUCUCUUUAAUUUUCGUUUUUUUUACUAAAUUAACUUCAUUUCUUUUUAUUAUCAUUCAAAAUUUAUACUUUUGAGAUUUGAGAAAAAAUUCUAAUAUGUGAUGUAAAAACUUUCUAGCUUGCAUAUGUGAUGUAUAUGCUAGAAUAUAAAUGAUGACCAAUUUUUUAUUUUUUGAUUUAUGGUUGUUUGAUGAACAGAGUUCUUAAUUUGUCCGGCUUAUUGGAGAUUUCUCGCUAAUACUUUUGUUAUUUUUUUAUUAUCAAUUUUUAGAUGUGCAUGGAAUAAAUGAAUCAAUUUUAUUUUUUUAUAUCUAAUCAGUUGGGUUAGAAUGCUACGUAGGUGGGAUAUUAUGCAUUUUCUUUUUUCUUUUUUUAAUGGUCAUGGAGUAUAUGAAUUUUGUGCUUAAUUUAUUAAUGAAAAGUAUGUACUCGUUUGCAGAUGGUAACAAAUAAUGGCUUGCUUUUAGAUAAUACUACAAAGAUAGCCCAACAAGAAUCAUUUCAAGCUGAGGUUGAUUAGUCGUCCCAAAACCUGAAUACUAAUCCAGUUUCUUUUUUUGAACUAGAAGUUGAUGAAGCAUAUUGGUCAAAUGAUGACAGAGUUGUCAUACAAAUUUGUGAACAUAUUAUGUUUUUUUAAAAAAAAAUAUUAUGAUUAUUGUUGUAAUAUUUACCGGUACCAAUUUAAUACAAUAUUAUGAUAUAAGGAUUUGUUGUUAUGUUUGUAGGACGGGUGGUUUUUAUGUCUAUUCGAUAUGUUAUUUAGUACAAUUAAGAUUUUGUAAUUAUUGUUGUAACCAAUUUUUUUUUGUUGAUUAUACAAGUUUAAAUGAUUGACAUAUGGAGAAUUAUUAUUCUUAUGGCAUUUAUAACUAAUUUUAUUUAUUUUUAUUCUUGAGUAAUGGAUUAAAUUUAUUUGGGUUGAAGAGAAAAUUUGACAAAAAAUUAAAUAGAAGAAUUGGGCAAUGAGGGUAUAUUCGUAAUUUUGUUAAUAAUAUAAGGAUAAAUUGGAUAAUAAAUAAUUAUUUUUUAAUGUGCUAGAAGGGUAUAAUGGUAAUUGCAUAUUAAAAUUAUAAUUUCCGUUAAAAGAAAUGGUUUUUGUUAACAAAUAGGGGUCUAAGUGUCUUUUUUAAAACAUUAAGGGGUUUUGUAUCUCUUACCUAAAUGUUGGGGGUGUCUGUGUCCUUUUCCCUAAAAUGUAUGUAUGCCAAUUUAUUUCAUGCAAUUGAUAUUUUAAGUUUUUUCAAUAUAAUUAAGAGAUAACAGUUUACUUUUUUUUAUAGCACCAUGACCCUCUUCACAACGGAGGAUAGUAAGAAAAAAUGGAAUUAUAAUUCUAAGAUGAGAAUUGUGAAGGUAUAAAAAAAGUAACCCUACAAAAACUAUAUGUGCCUAUCGAUUACAUAACUAAAAUGGAUGAGAUUUUGUAAGUUUUUUUUUGUGUGGCAUGAACAGGCUCCAAAACAAAAUAUCAUAAAAUUGCAGUGUGGCUAUUAUGUGUUAAGGUGCAUGAAGGUAAUAAUAGCAUAUGUUAGUUUAUUAAUGAACAAUGUAAGUUGAUGAUGACAUUUCUUAACUUUUUUUUAUUCCAUAUACAUGACAUUAUUUUUGAAGUUUGACCUCUUAAUAAUCUUGUGAUUAACAGGUUAAUGGAAAGAAAGUACACACUCAUAACGAAUUAAAUGAGGUUCGUUUGGAGUGGGCUAACCAUUUCUCUGACAUCCUUCUUGCAUCAGCAAAAUGGUUAGUAUGAGUAUGAAACUAUAAAUAUUAGUUGUAAAAAUUUAUUGAAAUUAAAGUUAUAGUGUCAAAUUAUAAUGGUUAUUGUUAACGAUUGUAGUGUGCAUGUUUUGCAUUCGAUAACAUUGGGUAUUUUGAUUGAUUCUGAAUAGAUUGGUUUGCUAGGUUUGGGUUGGAGUGUUGUUAUGUAUGUGGCUAGAAUACCAGUGGUGUGGAAAGAUGCUGAAUUGGAAGAUGUUGGGUUGCUGCUGAGUGUGUGUUGGGAGAGUUGUUGGGUAAGUGGCUAUUGGAAUAUUGCCGUUAGAAGAUGUAUUACUGUUGGAGGUUUUGUUGGCUUGGUGGUUGGAAUUUGAGUUGCUUUUCUUGUAGUUUAAUUGGAUGAAUGUGUUUUUUUUUUUUUUUUUAAUUUGGGAUGUUGAUUAUAUAUGUAUUGGUAGUGAUGACAAUAUUAGAUACUAGAUGUAUUUAUUUUGAAAUUAACUUAUUGGAAUGAAUGAAUGUUAAUUAAUAUUAAUUGUUUUUAGUUUUUUUCAUGAUGCUCAUUUUUAUUAAUUAAUUAAAUUUGUAAACAUGAAUACAAAAAUUAAUUAUAAUCGUAAUUUUUUUAAAAAAAAUUAAUUUUAUGAUGGGAAAUUCCCAUCAUAAAGUCUGUCAUAACAAUUUCCUGCCAAAAAAUGAAUAAUAAAUUUACAAAUGAUAACAUAAUUUCCCGCCAAACCUUAAUAAUAAAUUUACCAAUGACAAUAAAAUUUCCCACCAAAAUUUAAAAAUUUGGCUUGAAAUUUUAAAUAAAUUCAAAUUUUAAUUUAAUAAUAUUUUCACAUUAAAAUAUUGCGUGACGGAUAUAUGACUGUAAAAUACCAUCGUUAAUUCAUGACGGCAAAUAUUCUGUCAUAAAUUAAUGACAGUGACAUAGAUGACAUAUGAAUUGUCUGUCAUGAACCCUCUUUUAUAACAGUUAUUGUCCGUCGUCUAUUGCAUGUUUUCUUGUAGUGACCCAAAAAAUAUGGUUUACGAAUUUAAGAAAUCCAUCUACAGACUUAAGUAAGCAUCUUGACAAUGGUAUUUCAAGUUUCAUCAAGUGAUCAUCUUAUUUGGUUUUGAGGCGAGUUUGGUCGAAGAUUGCAUAUAUCAUAAGCCCUAUAAGAUUAGCAUAUUUUUCUAGUUUUAUAUGUCAACGACAUUUUGCUUGUCGGCAACGAUAUAGGCUUAUUGCACAACACCAAGAGAUUUCUAGUUAAGAAUUUUGUGAAUGUAUUCUUGCAAAUUCUCACCCUAUUAAAGAUCUCAUGACACCCAAAAGGGAAAAAAGUUAGAAAAAAGGUACUGCUAUUUACAGUUAUUAUAUUUUCGAUACUCUAAUUCUAAUAAAAUUUUAUAUCACUAAAAUAUAAUAUAAUUUACUAUUAAGAACAUUAAUAUAUUUUAAGAAAAAUUUAAUACCCUUAAAACUCAUUUAUACAUAUUAUUGCAGGUAAAAGCAUUAAAUAUCAGGUUUUUUCCUUGUCAUUAUUGAAUUUAAUCAAUUGUAAAAACAAAAUAUUUAGGGUCCAUUUAGGAUUUCUUUUGGGAGGUUCAAAAGUGAUUUUGAAAAGGUAAAUUUUAAUUUUCGUAUUUGGUAAAUUUUUUUAGAAAUUACUUUUGGCAAAAUCGCCCUAUCCUACAACAAAUUUGGAACAUAAAAAAAGAGUAACUUUUCAAAAUCUGAUUUUGAGAGUCACUUUUAUACUCAAAAUAAUUGCAUAUAUAUCCUCAUAUAUAUUAUUAAAAUCCACAAUUAUUCUUAUUAAUGAGAAAAUAAAAUCAUUAACUUUAAAGAGAUUAUUAUUAAUACUAAUUAUAUUGAGAUAACAAAAUAAAAAAUAAGAUAAAUAAUAUAAAGUAUUUAUUUUCGUUAUUAAUUAUCUUAUAUACACAAUUAAAAAUAUUGUGUGUGUGUGUUUAUAAAUGUGUAAGUAAAUUUUAUUCAACGUUGUGUUUAAUUCAAUCAUUUACAUUCUUACAAUUGUUCGACAGUAAGCUUUGCCGAACAUGUACAACUGCUUUUAAAACUUAUAGAUUUUUCAAAAAUAAAUUUUAUUAAAUAUUUAACUAAUUCUCUUCAUAACUGAUUAUUUCUACAGCACAGCUAAUAGUAAUUAUUUUAGAAGCCACAGUAUUACCAAACUGGCCUUAAAUUCUACGUGAUCUAGGAAGUCAUCAAGCAGGACACAUACUCUUCUCUUCAAUGGAACAAAUUGCACCAUUUAUAUAGAAGAACAUCAAAUACGAAGAAAAGUUGAGUCAAUCGAUUAUAACAUUCUUGGGCAUUAUGUUUUAUGACUUAGAGAAUGAUGAAAUAAUUUGCGCAGUACAAGAAAACAGGUAAUAGAUGACGGGAAAUAACUAUCAUAAAAAGGGGUGAAUGACAGACAGUUCAUUCGUCAUCUAUGUCACUGUCAUUAAUUUAUGACAUAAUAUUUUCCGUCAUGCAUUCAUGAUGAUAUUUUACGAUCAUAUAUCCGUCACACAAUAUUUUAAUGUGAAAAAAUAAUUAAAUUAAAAUUUAAAAUUAUUCAAAUUUUCGCGCCUUUUUUUAAGUUUUUUUAGCGGGAAAUUUAAUUAUCAUUUGUAAAUUUAUUUUUCAAUUUUGGCGGAAACUUAUUUAUGACAGAAUGUGUGAUGGGUANNNNNNNNNNNNNNNNNNNNNNNNNNNNNNNNNNNNNNNNNNNNNNNNNNNNNNNNNNNNNNNNNNNNNNNNNNNNNNNNNNNNNNNNNNNNNNNNNNNNAAUUUAUUGAUGAAUUCCUGUUUACAAAUUUAAUUAAUUAAUAAAAUGGAUAUCAUAAAAAAAUAAAAACAAUUGAUAUUAAUUAACAUCCAUUCAAUUUAACAAAUUAAUUUUGAAAGAAAUACAUAUAUUAUCCAAUGUGAUCACCACCAAUACAUAAUAAAACAUCUCAAAUUGGAAAAACCAUCCUAAAGAAUAAAAUAAUAGUUAAAUUCCAAUCAAGCUCCAAGAAAAUCAAUUAAAAUUUCAGCCACCAAGCCAAGUUACCCAAUAAAAUUUCCAAAAAUUAAUGCAAGUAUUCCAACGGCAAGAUUUUGAGCAAAACUUCCAGUAGCAAUACCAUCUUCCAACAGCACUCUAAUUCUAGCUACAUACCCAGGAACACUCCAACUCAUAUGCAGCAACUCACCAUCUUCCAAUAGCACUCUAAUUCCGACAUAUAUCCAGUAGCAUUCCAACCCAAAGAAGCAAACCAAUCUAUGCAGAAUCAAUCAAAAAUCUGCAGGGGCUGUCUUGCUAUUGUUCUGAAGUGAAAAAAGCUCCUGUAAAUUACUAGGGUUGUUUUCACUGUAGAGAAGCAGCAAAACAGUCAAUGUAAACUUCCAACGGCUAUUUUGAUAGCAGAACUAUAGCAAAACAUCUAAAGUUUGCACUAAGGUCUCAAGUGAUCCUUUCAGAUGAAUUAGAAAGGAAAAUAUUAUUACCUGUGUUAGACACCAUUGUUGAAGUCAUAGCAAAUAGCCUGCAAAUAUAAUAACAACAUUUACAUUAGUUUAUGAAACUACUGUUAUUAUUUUUUUACAAGGAUAUGUAAAUGAAUAAUAAGAGUAUUUUAAGUUACAUAUAUACUGCACCUUGAGAGACCAGCCAUUGAUGUGCCAUUGUAGCUUUUGAAAAUAAUAUAGUAUACACAAAGUGAAUUUGUAGAAGCUAGUUAUACAUUUAUUAAACAAAUAAACUUGAAAAAAGAAUUAGAUGACCAAAUUAUAAGUGUAAGCAUUAUAAUAUAAUUACCUUUAAUAUUUUUGGAGCAUUUGUUGCAGAAACCAUAGCUAUGAGAAGAAAUCGUGUCAUCAACGUCUGAAAAACAAUGUAAUUUUCAGUCCCAUAUAUGAUUAAUAUACACCAUUAAUAGUCUAGUUUUGGGCAUUAAAAGGAUCUAAAUUGAUAUAUGUAAAGGUUUACCAAAUAAAAGGAACAAUUUCUUUUGUCAUGGGAGCAAGUCAUUUGCCAUUUUUAAGAAUUUUAAAAAUCUUAAUUUAAAACUAGUAAAAUGAAGGCUCAAUGUAGUUGGAGGACAAUUGUUAAAUGAUAAAAAACUACUUAUCUUCUACCCACUGAAAGAGAGUAGCAAUUGAAUCUUAAAUAAAAAUAGUAAAAGUUCAAAGAGAAUUUUAUUUCUAUACAAAAUGGUUGCCAAACAAAUUGUGCUGCAGAGCACAUACCUUGAAGCCACAACAGUACAUGCAUUUAUGAUCAAGUCUUGCUUUAAAGUUUGGAUAGAAGCAUAUGUUACAAUAGAUGCAGAAAUUGUGCCAACACUAUCAACCUCUGAAAGGAUUAGGUUCAAGUUAGCAAAAAGAGAAUCAUGAAUUUCAUAUUCCUGUUGAAUACAUGUGUGCCAAUGUCAAUGCCAUUUGCAUCUAGGGGCAUUGCAUAGCUUCACACAUGCUAGCAAUGCCCACUUAAAUGUAGGCUAUUCUGAAUCUACCCAACAAUAGCAUUUUGGUAUAGAUCAUAGCAUGAAUAUGAAUUCUAUGUUCUGUAAAAGUUAACAAUUAAAGGCCUACAAGUUAUUAAGCACGGUUUCCUUAAGGAUCUAAUGUAUGAUAAAUAUGUUAGUCUUUUAUCAAAUUUCUUAUUAAUGUGAUUCUUAAAGUUCCAUAAAGCAUUAGAGAAAGCGUAGCCAAAAAACAACCAUGGCAAUUAACUAAUAUUUGGAACAUAAUACAAAAAGAAAAUAGAAAUUACCAACACAAAUAAUAAGGAUAAAAUACUAACCUAAAGAUGUGUCUUUUCCUAGCCAUAUUAUAUCUAGGUGGAGGUCUUUGUAAGUACUAUGAUACCUAACCCAAGGGAUCCUUUCUGGAAAUCUGAUCAGUUGUAUUAACCCAUCAAACUUAAGACCAACCAAUGAACAUAAAUAGAACUCAGUUUAUAAGCAUAUCUAGCUAAAGCACAAAUAUGCUAUUGCCAAAGGUUAGAACAAUAACCAAUACACCCUUCUGAAGAGCUUGCUCUGGUAGUACCAAAAUCGGAACACAAAAGUACACUUGCAAUGUGUAAAUUAUAGUUGCACAUCAAAAGCUCAAUCAGCACAACAAAAUUUACAUAGGCAAGCAAACCUUUUUAACUCAACAAUGAUGCACACUUCAAAACUUAAUAUUUUGCGACCUACACUCGUUAAAAGUUUAGUAAUUCACAAAUUGCAGUUUAAAAAAAAGUUAAAUGGCCUGCCGAGGAUCAAUCAAACUAAUUGAAAACAAAACCAUCUUAACAUAAAUCCGAUUUUUUACAUAUGUACAUAUUCUUUAAAUACAAUUGAUUGCAAAGAGUGUAAGAACUGACCUGAAAGAGCACAGAUGCUCAUAUAGAUAAAUAAACAUUGCAAUAUUUAAGUGCUUUAACAAUAAUUUAAUUUAAUACUAAACACAAACAAAAUCAAUUGAGAACUGGCCUGAAAGUGCAUUAGACAUAUCAAAGAGGAACAAUCUAGUUAGAUACUUCUCUAAUGCAGUUGAGGCUUCAAUAAUACAAACAUUCUUGAUACUGAAAUGACAUCUAAAGGAACAUGGCUAUCGAAACCAGAGCAGUCUACAAGAUUACCAAUUCUAGUUGUACUCAAAGAAACUGGACUCCUAAAAAUAGCAAAUUUUGACAAAAAUAAUUUUAGUAUCUAAAUUUUCUUUUUUUAAAAAAAACUAAUAAAAGGAAAGGUGAAACUGAUUUAUUAAUCUUAUCUUUAUCAUUCAAGGUAAACAGUGUAACUCCAUAUGUAGCCCAUAACCAGCCUAAUAAUGAAUGCAGCAAAUGAAAUGAAUGUUAAAACACUAAACUAAAAAGAACUUCAGUAACUAGAAACCUAAAUAAAAGUGAACCAAUAAGAACAGAGUGUAAUUCUCAGCCCAUAGGAAGGGAAACUCUAUCAACUAUGAAAUAUAGGGACCAAUGUAGGAGGCAGACGUUCAUUUUUCUCAAUUAUCUGAUCCUCUUCUUCAAUUGCCCCAAAGACAUUGGCUCUGAGUUCAGCCUAGCAAACAAACUGAUUUGAGUCGGUUACAAUGGCAUAAAAAUUGAAUUAAAAGGAAAGACUUUACUAUAAUUAAAAUAUUCAUCGAAUAUUAAGAAAACACCAAAAAUAAAAUUUUGGGCAAAACCCAUCAAUCCAGUCAGAGUUAUGACCUUCCAGAUAACAUCAAUCAGCCAUAAAUCUAUUUAACUUUAUCUUUAAACCCUAAUUUCUCUUCAAUUUCCUAUUAAAGAAAUUUAACCACACAAUAUAGAUGAGAUCUAUAAAAUGCAAAAAAAAAAAAAAAAUGCAUUGCACGAGAUUAGACAUAAAACAAGAGCUAAACUAAUUUCAAAUUUCUUCUCUUUUUUCUUCAGCAAUUCUUCGCGACAACUAUGGGGAAAUGAAGAAGACGAAGUGGUAGUUGGGUAUACUCAUACCCGGAUCUUAGAGAGGACGCCUUUCUUCUCUAGCAUUCUGGUGACUAGGGUUUUGAGGUCCAUAUUUCUCGACUGUAAUCCUUUAUUUUUGAAUAAGCUUGCUCUCUGUCUCUCUUUCACCGUUGCUUCUGCUGUUUGUGUGCGAGAAAUUAAGACUUUGAUAGAGGAGAAACCAAUAGAGUAGUACUAGGAGGGAAGAAAUGUCCAACAUCCUUUUUUUUUUCAAUAAUGGCGUUUGAGAUUGCGGCAAGAUGAGGGAAGUCAGUAUCGGGAGAAGUCGAGGGUUUUCAGUUUCGGUCUUCGUCUUUCAGGGAUUUUCCGUGGUAUACCCCAAAAAUAGGGUAUUUAUCUAAAAAUACUCCAUAUUCAAAAAUUCCUCUUAUAUGCCUUUUUCUAAUAUGCAGUUACGAAAUUACCCUAAUAAAAAACUUAAAUUAACCAAACUAUCACAACUAAUCAUGUAACAAAACCCCUAAUUCUCUCUCAUGAGCAGCGUCUCCUUCAGCUCGUUCUUCUGGAUUUCUCCUCCUCCAUUUUACCAAUCCCUGCAAUUUUACAACAAUUCUUCUACACUCUCACCGAAAUGCAGCAAAACAAGUAAAACAACGCCGCUUCUGUGCAAACUAGUAGCUGCAAUUCCCCCACUCUCCUUCAGCGUGUCCUCCUCCAUUUUACAAAUCCCUGCUAUUUUACAACAACUCUUCUACACGCUCGUCGAAACACGGAAAAACAAGUAAAACGAGAAAUUGAUUGUAACCCUUGUGCUUUGAAGGUAAUUUAUCAAUUUAAUAUAUGUGGAAAUGUUAGGUGGGACUAGGAUUUUGCUUUCCAUCCAUGAGGAGUUGUAUCUUCAUCUUGAAAAUGAUUGUUCUGGCAUACUCCGGAAUUCAGGAGUAGCUUUUCAAUAGCUCAUCUCUAAACAAAUUUUUAACAUUACAAAAGAGAUAUUUUACAUUUUCCAUGAACUUCUAGACUAGGAGUUGUCUUGAAAUUAGUUCAUGAAGCUGUGAUAAAUCAUUGAACAAAUUCAUUGCAUUUUAUUUGAUUAAUAAUGUUAGAUUAGGAAAGAGAAAAAGAUGAGUAACUUGUGGUUUACAAAUUUGUCACAAGGUGAUGAGAACUAUGGAAAAACUGGGAACCACUCCCCCCCCCCCCCCCCAAAAAAAGAAAGAUUGUGACUUCUCCAGUGAUGCAUCUCAAUCUUACUACCUGUAUGAUUUAACCGUAUUUAUGAAUGAAUAUCUAUGAUUGCUUAUGAUAUCUGAAGUUCUAACUGAAAGGGAUUGGAAAAUUGAGGAAACAGUUUGUGCUAACUAACAUAGUGGAUUUUUAAUUUCUAACUAAGACAGGGUAUAAUUACUUUUUAAAAGAAGGGGGGUGGAGAUACUAAUGUACUUCUGGAGACCAAUCACGUUAUGAUUCUUAUUUGUUAAUAUGGUUCGAUAUUUAAGUAAAGAAGUGACCUUUUGUUAUUGUUAGAUGAGUUUGUUAUCAAAUUGUGUAUUCUGCUUGUUCUUAUUUGAUUUUCACUGAUACGGUUUUAACAUCCAAAUUCACCAAUGGACUCAUUACGCAAAUGAAGAAAGAAUGUGAUUUUGCAAACUUAUGUGACUAUUUAUUCUCUUUGUAGAGCUUAAGUCGCGUGCUUCUAGUUAUGGUUCUCUGCUUUCUAAUAUUUAUAGUUACCCCUUUCUAUUCUUUUUCUCUUUGAUGGUAUGAGAAGAGUCAAAACUUUUAUUAGCUGCAGAAUUUUUUAUGACGUUGUCUGCAAAUGCCACUGUAGUCUCAAAGCAAGCAGGUUGAGGAGGUUACAUGUAAUCCUGGAUUUUAUAGAACUUCCAAUUAGUUGUUCCUUGAGGCUCACUAGAGGUACCAUACAACUCUUGGUUUGUUUAUCAUGUGUAAGAGCAAUAUAUUUGGUUCAUUCUUAUUCAAUUUUUUUAGUGGUGAUUGUGGAGCAUUUUUGUUGCGGUACUUGGAGGUCCUAGCCCAUGGACUUGAUGUCAAUUCAUAUUGCCAACAAGAUCAUGUUUCACAAUUUCGAAAAACCUUGGCUGUAAAAUUAUUUGGGCUUAGGUCAUGGAAAAAAACUUUGUAGUGUCAUUUUUUUGGACUAUGAGAUGUAAUAGUUAUGAUGAGGAUGUUAUUGAUAUUUGAUGUCAUUAAAGAUAACUUGACAGCAUUAAUAUAUUUUAUUUCUUUGUUAAUUAUAUUAAUGAUAGAUAAGAUAGUUUGUACAAUCUAUGUGAUAUAACAUGAUUGCCAUAUAUGCACAGGGAAUACACUGUAAGAAAAUACACGACUGCAGUCGGGUAUUUGCACAGAUACACGACUGCAGUCGGGUAUUGACAAAUAAACAUGACAAGCUCUCUGUGACAAAAUACACGACUGCAAUCGGGUAUUUGCACAGAUACACAACUGUAGUUGGGUAUUUAGAAAUAUUGCAGUCGGAUAUUUGCACAGAUACACAACUGCAGUUGGGUAUUUAGAAAUAAACAUGACAAGCUCUCUAUGACAAAAUACACGACUGCAGUCGGGUAUUUUCACAGAUACACGACUGUAGUCAGGUAUUUAGAAAUAAACAUGACAAGCUCUAUGUGACAAAAUACACGACUGCAGUCAGGUAUUUGCACAGAUACACGACUGUAGUCGAGUAUUUAGAAAUAAACAUGACCAGUUCUGUAAUAGCCAUAUUACACGAUUGUACUCAGGUAUGUGUACAGAAGAAAAACUCUUUUCAAUCAUUCAUUAUAUUGAUGACACAAUCAAUAUAGACUUUAACAUAUCAAACUUCAAAUAAAUGAAACUAACUGUAGUCCGGUUGCCUAUCAAAUAACAUAAAUCCAAUACGUAUUGAAAUCGUAAAUAAGUCGUAAUACAAUAGAAGUUGUUUAACAUUCAUCAUAAAUUUUAUAAGCCUCUGGUCGCCUCCCUUCAAUACUUAUUCUUAGAAAGCUACACAAAUACGUUUAUUCAUCUGCGAAAUAAAAAAGGUAGAAAUUUAUCACUAAAUAUGAAAGAUAUUCAAAAAAUUAAAACAACAAAAAAUAACAAGUAUAUAAGGUUCAUAGUAGUACAUGUGCUUGUUUAUGUUUCAUUUGGUCUAACUAUGGGCUCAUUGUUAGACAGUGAGAUUGGUGCACUGCAAGUUAGUCGAUUAUGUCUUCGAGAACCACACCUACCACACUUACAGCGCAACUUCUCUUCGCCUUGUGAUGUUAUCCUAAUUUGUUGUGGUCGACCUUUUUUCCGCUUUUCCAUAGGGGGCAAAACCUCAUUACUGUAAUAAUACAACAGUUGAUUAUACAACAAAUACAAAAAUAAAAUCAAACAAGAUUUAUAACGAAGUGUGGAUAUGUCUGCCUAUUUACACGACUAACGUCGUGUAAUUGAUAGUUUACACGACAAUAGUUGUGUAACUUGCUAAAAUACACAACUAUAGUUUUGUAAACAAUUAGAUGAUAUAUUUAAUAAAAUAUAAUUGUAAUCUUUAUACUAACAGAAUGCUAGGUGUCAUAACAACUACUAUAUCUUUCAAACUUGCACGGUUGUUGUCGUGUAAAUUCAUAAAUACAUGACAGAAGUGGUGUAAGUUGCAAAAAUACAUGACUUAGUAAAUAAUCAGAGGACAUAUUUCUUCUUAAAAAAAUGUUGGGAUCUCAUAACAAUUGGAACAUUUUACAUAUAUACACAAUUAUAGUAUGUAAGUUUAUACGUACACGCUAGUAGUCAUGUAACUUAUUAACACACACGAUUAUAGUCCAGUAAUAGUAAAAGGAUAUAUAUAGUGAAAAAAAUAUAUUUUUUGAACCAAUAGAAUGAUAAGGUGUUAUAAUAAUUGAAAUUUUUUGCACAUUUUUACGACUAUAGUCGUGUAAAUACAUACAUACAUGACUGUUGUCGUGUAUGUCGGGUGCAGAAAAAAAAUUGACAACAACUUCAGGUUUUAACGAAUGUAGUUAUAAAAUCCAUCAAAUAAUAGUCAUAUGAUGCAAAUGUAAUGAAAAUAUGAGUUGCUUUAGUGUUUAUCACAAACCAAACAAAACCCUAAAAAUAAUAUAAUGUCAACAAAUUGAAUAAAUAGCCCAAAAUUUAAAAAAAAAAAGUUUCAAAUACCUUAUUCAUGGGAUGAAUAAUACACCCAGCUGCAAACAAAAAUCUCAGUACAUUAGCUAUUUGUGAGUGAUUUUGAGUGUGGUGUGAGUUUUUGUUGUGUGGAGUAAACAAAAAGAGUGAGAAGUAAAGAGUGUUGUGAGUUGUGUGUGUUUUAUAUUUUUCUUUAGGGAUAUUUUAGACAAUGUACCACAUAAAAAGGCAUAGUUAAAUAAUUUUCAAGCAUGGGGUAUAUUUAACUAAAUACCCUACUUUUAAGGCAUAUUUAAUAAAAAACCCCUUUGUCUUUUGUGUGUAUGUUGUGAAAAAUACUUAGACAAACAUACUUUUAAAAUUUAUUUUAGAAUUAAAAAUUUUAAAAAUUUAAUAUUUUAAAUUUAUGAUCAAAACGUCGUCGUUCCAACUUAUGCGAAACGAUGACGUUUCUUGAUUCAUAUAACAUUUUGCUUAAAAAAAAACUCAAAAUUUUGGUCAAAAUAGCGCCAAAGUAAAGUCAACAUUAAAAAUAGUGUAAUUGUUCACAUAUUAAGUAAUGAAUUAUAAGUUGACAUGUGGCUAAAUAAAAAAAAAAUUCGUGAUAAAAAAUUAUUCUAUCACAAAACCAUUAUUAAUUCCUGAUAAAAAAUAAUUUUAUCACAAAACCAUCAUUAAUCCGUGAUAGAAAAUAAUUCUAUCACAAAACCAUCAUUAAUCUGUGAUAGAAAAUAAUUCUAUCACAAAACCAUCAUUAAUCCGUGAUAGCAAAUAAUUCUAUCACAAAACCAUCAUUAAUCCAUGAUAUCAAAUAAUUCUAUCACAAAACCAUCAUUAAUCCGUGAUAGAAAAUAAUUCUAUCACAAAACCAUCAUUAAUCCAUGAUAGAUUAAAAAUUUUAUCACAAGUCUAUUAUAUUUUUAUGAUAUAAGCCAAGUCAGUCACAAGUUAUCUAUCAUCUAUUGCCAGUUUUCUUGAAGUGGUGGGUGUAUAAAAAAAUAAAAAAAUAAAAAAAUAAUUAUGAGUAUGGGUUUAAUAAAGGACUGUUUUGGUAUUUGAAAAGUGUGCUAGUAAAAAUUAUAUUUUAAAAUUUAUUAAAUGAGUGUGCAGAGUAAUAGAGUGCUCAAAAUAAACUUUAGAGUAUAACUUUAGAAAGUUAAGAUUAUAUGUAGUGCUUUAUAUGUUCAUUAGACAUUUUAGUGCGAUCGUUCAACCUUUAAUGAAAUCAUACUAGUUAAUCACAAUAAUGAUUGGUUAAUUUUAAAAUUAGAUAUAUUUAUGGGAAGAUUUUAUUACUUACAUAAAUGAUGUGAUAGACAUGUUCCAUUUUGCACAUGCUGCGCGGAGUUUUUGGUUUUCAUGGCUAAUUGUGGCUACUUGUUGUUAUUAAGGUGCAAAUUUGAGGGACGUACCAGGUCUACCGAUUGAUAAAAAGAACAGGGUAGCACUGAUGUCUUACUUACCGUCCAUUAGUACUUGGAAUUAAUUAACUACAUUUGCACUUAGAGUUAAAAUCCCACUGCCACUAGAAUAUGAGUAGAGAUGGCAAAUAUCCAAUUAUGGAUGGAUAAUAUCCAUCCAAAUACAAAUCCAUAAUUAUCCAUGAUAGAUAUAUCCAUAUCCAUAUCCAGUAUUUAAUAUUGGACAUGGAUAUGGAUUUUAUCCAUAAAGAUAUGGAUAUCCACGGAUAUCCAUGAAUAUUUUAUUUUUAUUAUAUAAAAAAUAAUAAUAAAAUAAAAUAAAAAAUAGUUAAAAACAGUAUUAAAUUCUAAUAUCAAAUAAAAAAUAAUAAACAUAACAAAUAUCAAAACUAUGAAUUAAAAAAAUUAUAAUAUGAAAUUACAAAUUAAUUUCAAAUUAAAUACAAAAAGUUCAUUCCUCUAACGCAUCAUUAAUCUCCAAUCUUCUAACACAUCAUUAAUCUCCAACUAGAUCAUCAUCAUUAAUCUGCAAAUUCAAACAAAACACAGAUAAUAUUAAAUGCACAAUGAGCCAAAUGAAAAAUGAAAGAAGCUUGAUAGUGUAAGUUCAGCCAGUUGUGACAGUUACCUGCGGAUAUGAUGAGUGCCUGACCAGUAUAAUUCAGGUUUGCCUUUGUCCAAGGAAUUUUUCAAACUGUAACCAACUGAUAACAAAAAGUAAAUGAGAAAAUGACAGAAAAAAGCCAGACCUGCCAUUUGAUGCAUGAAUAGAGCAGAUAUGAACUAAACAGGAAAUUCUGAAACCAUAUAAUUUGCCACCAUGGCCAUAACAAAUGAAAUAUCUUUGGCAGCCGGAUAGAUUUUCAAAUCAAGUGAAACUUAAGAUGAAUAACACAGGACAAAAGAUUAGGUAAUAGAAGACAGGGCCACAGAACAGAACACCAGGGAUCUGUAACAUUGAGGUCCUUUCCUAAAAAUAUACUCUUCAAUUAGGCACAACAAUAAGCAUCAAGCACAUACCAAAAAAAGAAAAUAAACACUAUUCAGAACAUGGUUGGGUCUCCUCUUCAUCAUCAUUAUCAGUCACUUCUCCAUUUAUUUCUUCCCCAUUCAUCACUUUAUCUUUAGGAAUCUCACCUAAUUUAAAAAAAAAACUUGUAAAAUAUAAAAAAAAACAAAUACUAUCAAAAUCAAAUAAGUGCAUAAGUGAGCUGAAUUUGAUACCUUUUAAUUGAGCCCAUAUCCAAUUCUGAGUACACAUUAAGGCCUCUACUGUACUCGGAUGAAGUCUACUACGAUGUGGGCUUAAACAUCGACCUCCCGCACUAAAAGCAGAUUCGGAAGCAACUGUGGAGACCGGAACAGCCAGCAAAUCUCUAGCAAUCUCAGACAAUAUCGGAUAUCUACUUCUAUUCACCUUCCACCACAUUAAAAUAUCGAAGUCUGGAGUAGUCUUAUCCUCUUCUUCCAAGUAAGUAUCUAACUCCGACUUAACUCGUUUACGAAUAUGUUGGCUUUUGAAUGCAUUAAAUUUUUGCACAUCCCACAUACCCAUCACAACUGAACUAGAAUUAGAAUUACAAACAACACUAGACUCACCAAAUCCUUCAGCCAAAUUCGAUCCAACCACACUCUUUUUUUUAUAUUCUGAAUAUAAGUCAGAACAGAGAGUACGGAUUCUAUCAAUAUGAGUUGAUGCAUCACUACCAUAAAUCUGAGGAAAGAAAUAAUCCACUAGAACCAUUUUGUAUCUAGGAUCCAAUACAACAGCAACAGCCAUUACACCAUGGAUUUCAUCCCAAUAUUUUCCAAACUUUUCUAACAUACUUUUCGCCAUAUUUUUUAUCACAUCACAUGAAGAAUUAAGCCAAGCAUUCAAUGAUAAUCUAAUUUCACAAAUUAUUGGAAAAAAUAAGUUAGCCAUAUAUUAUAUAUACUAGCAGAUUCUUUGAAGAAAGUAACCACUGCAUAUUGAAACUCUUCCAAUUCCUCUCUCUCUCUCUCUCUCUCUGUACACACACACACACACAGAGCCAUGUAAACAAAAAUAAGAAAAAUAAUGGAAGCCAUAAAGGCAUAAGAUUUUAGGCUUGUAAAAGCUUAUUUCAUGUUUAAUCAUGGAGCCAAAUUCAUAAACUAAAUUAAACCCCAUCCAGCAAUUAAUCAAAAUCUAGAUUUGUGACUGACAAAAGGUGAAGAAAAUAUUUGCAUAAUUUUAGUAAAAUCACCAGAAAUACGGUGAAAAUGCUGGGUACUGUGAAGAUCAAUCAAAGCCAAAUAUAUAUUAAACGGCUUAUAAGCUUCAGCAAUCAAAACUUACCUUGCGCGGGAGACAACGAACAGGCGGACGGACGACGGUGGUGGCAGCGACGACAGAGACGAUGGUAGCUGGAACGAGGCAGAAAAACGCUCAAGAACAGCUGGAAGCUGCAGUUACGGCUGAUCAACCAUUGGUACAGCGCCGGCGCACCUAAACGGAACCCCCGGAAAGCGGCGUCGGAGUUGGGGAAGAGCGUCGGUAAGCAAAGACCGGCCGGCGAGCGAUGUGAUAAUCUUAGGUUUUGCUAUCCAGACAUUUGUUUUUGCUUAUUUCAUUUUAGUUUUACGAUUUUAAUUUUUUAAUUUCAAAUAAGAUAUUAAUUGGAUAUUGGGUAUCCAUUGGAUAUCCAUACCCAUCCAAUUUUUAUUUGGAUAUUUUUUAAAAAUAUCCAUAUCCAUAUCCAAAAAAUUUUGGAUGGAUAUUAUCCAAUCCAAUUGGAUUGGAUGUAUGGAUAUCCAAUUUAAAUGGACCAAAUUGCCAUCCCUAAAUAUGAGCCUUCCUUCUUCAGUGCCAGCUAUAAGGAUGAAAGUUAAUAAUCGAUGGACGAAACUUCCUUUUGAAAUAGAGAUUGAGAAUGUCAAAUUCAAGCAUUUUGGAGCAGUUACUAAGGUAACUAAGGGGAUGUAAGAUUUUAUUUUAUGUUUUGUUAGAUUAAAAUAUGAUGAUGAGUUAACACCUAGAAAAAUGUUUGAGGAACUAAAGUUUGACAAAAAGCUGGCAAAAACACACUCAAAACAACGUUGUUUUGUUUUUUUUUUUGUUUUAAAAAAAAUAUUAAAUUCACUCAAAAUGAUGUUAUUUUGAUUAUAUUUUUGUCAUCCUUUUGUCAGGCUUGAGUUUAUAGCAGUACUCUAGUACUUAAUAUUGUUGUUACAAAAAUUUAAUUCAUCUCUCUUUCUUUUUAAUUUUAUUUUUUGGUGAUCAUUUAUACAUUUAAAAAAUAGGCGUUAUGUUUGUGAAGAGGAAAAUGACAAUAUUGAUAUAAGUAUAUCAACCAAAAGGAAAACAAGUCGCAAGGUAAUUAACUAGUUAAGCUCCUUAAUCCUUAUUAUCUUACAACAGAAAAUUAACUAGUUUAUUUUUGGAUUAAUAUUAUAUUCUUGAGUUUUAUUUUCAGGAAAAUGAAAAGUUCUUACUGCUGGGCCCUUCGGCUCCUUCCUCGGGCCCUCUUCUGGGCACUCAGACCGUCAUUCUAUAUAAAUGACCAAUUCUUAAAAAAAAAAAGAAGUAAAUUGUUAUAAACUAAUAGGUGAACUUUCACCAUUUAUCUCAAAUUGGUAAAUCAUCAUUUACCCCUUAGCUUUCCAACUCUAUAUAUGUAAUGUAUUCAUUCGCAUUGGUAACAAUAAAAUUCGAAAGCUUAUCAAUAAUAAGCUUAGUAAUAAGGUACUUUUAAGUACUUUGUUUAAUUCAAAAUUUUUCUGUUAUCUAUUUAUUUUAUAACAUGCUAUCAACAUGAUGGCUGAUUUGACGUGAGUAGUUGAAUUUUUAUUACUUGUGUUUAUUUAUGUUUAUUUCUUUUAUGUUUUGUCAUCAUUAUUAUGAGUUAUUACUUGUGUUUAUUUAUGUUUAUUUCUUUUAUGUUUUAUCACCAUUAUUAUAAGUUUGUUAUAUUGUUUAUUUUUUAUGAACUUUUUUAUGGCUGGUUCUAUAAUACCGCCUAUAUUAUUAUUAUUAUCUUUAUAUUAAUAUGUUAUUAUUCUAAUAUUGAUUUACAUGGUUGGUUCAACCGCCUGUCUUGUUUUAACUUAUCUGCUUGUAUGACUUGUUCAACCGCCUACCCUAUUUAAUUUAUUUGCUGAUAUGGCUGGUUUAAUUACCUAUUAAGUUAUUUUAAUUUCAAUAAAUUAUAACUUGUUCUUGCAUAUACUUGUCUUUGAAUAUUAUUGUUAUAUUCUGAAGUCUACAACACAAAUGAGGUGGUGAGAACUUGAAGUUCUAAACAACUACAUAAAGUUUCUACAUAUUCUAUAAUUUCUGUUUUUUUUAUACUUAAAUAUUUAUAUUGUGACACUUAUUUCUAUUUUCUUUAAUCAUUAAUAAUAAGGGUCCUAGAGAAAUGGCAACUCUCACGAAUAUGCAAAUCCCUGCUCUUGAAGUUUGGGGAGGAAACUACCUUUCUUGGGUAUUGGAUGCCAAAAUGCAUUUGCAAGCUAUGAGCCUAGAAGGCACUAUAGUAGAAGGAAACGAGGCAUCUCUCUGGGAAAAAUCAAAGGCCAUGGUUUUCCUCCGCCGCCAUAUACAUAAGAGCUUGAAAGCUCAAUAUCUAACAGUGGAGGAUCCACUAAUUUUAUGGAGUAACCUCAAGGAAAGAUUUGACUAUCAGAGGGAUAUUUCCCUACCAAAUGCCAAACACGAGUGGUUAAACUUGAGAUUCCAAGAUUAUACAAGAGUCUCUGAUUACAACUCUAUUAUGUUCCACGUAAGCCUAGAACUACAAUUGUGUGGGGUAGAAAUUACAGAUAGAGAUAUGCUUGAAAAGACACUCAUUACUUUUCAUGCAUCAAACGUUGUCUUACAACAAUAAUACCAGGAGUGUAGAUAUAGCAAAUAUUCUGAAUUGAUAACAACUCUUUUAAUUGUUGAGAAAAACAAUGACCUCCUGAUAAAAAACCAUGAGUUAUGCCCAAUUGGCUCUUAACCAUUCCUAGAAGCGAAUGUGAAUACAUGUAGCAAUCGUGAACGUAAUCAAGGAGGUAAAAGAGAUCUUGGUCACUACCAUCGUGGUGGUUAUAGGCAUGAAGGACAAUAAAACAACAAAUAUGGAUGCCACCAAAAGUGAAAUGUUUAUGAGAGACCUAAAUCCAAUGAUGCAAGAAAGAAUAAUGUUAGAAAUGAUAAUGGAGAAAUAUGUUAUCGACGUAGCAGGACAUUGGUCACAAACUUGUCGGACUGAAAAAAAUUUGGUGGACCUUUAACAGGCAUCCAAGAAAGGAAAGGGAAAAAUUGAGACAAAUUUAGUCGAGAACUCAGAUCUUGUCGAUUUGACUCAUCCGGAUGCCUUUGAUUUUUUUGAAGACAUGGAGGGAAAAAUGAUAAAUUAAGUAAUAAUAGAAAUGUCCAAACUUUUAUGCUAGUUGCUAAUAUGCUAACUUUUGUAUCUAUUUGUAGUUUUAUCAAUUGUACUCAAUGUUUAUUUUGAUGUUUAACACUUUGGUUUAAUGAAGGUUAUGGAUUUUAGAAAUCAAUUAUCUAUUUUAGAAUCAAAGGCUUAAGAUGUUUACUUGGCUGACAGUGUAACCACACACACUAUUCUUCAAGAUAAAAAAUAUUUCUUAGAGAUAAAAUUACUUGAAGGAAAAAUAAAUAUGAUAUCUAAUCCUGCAAACUAAAAUUACUUGAAAGAAAAGUAAAUACUAUAUCUGGUCAUGCAGACCUAAUAGAAGGCUCUGGAAGUGCUAUACUUUUGCUGGCAAGCGGAACAAAACUAAUAAUUCAGAAUGUUUUAUAUUCAGCAAAAUCUAAAAGAAAUCUACUAAGCUUUAAAGAUAUCCACCGAAAUGGAUAUCAUAUUGAGACUUCCAAUGAAAAUAAUGUGGAAUAUCUCUACAUUACUAAAAAUGUCUUAGGAAAGAAAUAUAGACUGGAAAAACACAAAGCAUUCCCAGAUUGUAUUAUACAAUCAUAAAUGCAAUUGAAAGCCACGCAGUGAUGAAUUAGAAGUUCACAGAUCCAAGAUAUUUAUGUUGCGGCACGAUCGUCUCGGACAUCCUAGAUCUACAAUAAUGUGUAGAAUUAUUGAAAAUUCUUAUGGACAUCCAUUAAAGAACCAGAAGAUUUUAUUGUCCAAUGAGAUUGUUUGUAUCGCUUGCUCACAAGGAAAAUAUAUAGUUAAACCAUUUCCUUUCUAAGGUUGGUUAUGAAUCUCUAAUGGUUCUGCAAAGAGUUCAAGGAUAUAUAUGUGGGCCAAUCCAUCCACCUAGUGGACUGUUUUGUUACUUUAAGGUGUUGAUUGAUGCAUCUGCAUGGUGGUCACAUGUUUGUUUAUUAUCCACCCUCAACGUUGCAUUUGCAAGAUUACUUGCCCAAAUUAUAAGAUUAAGGGCAUAAUUUCUAGAUUAUCCAAUCAAAACCAUACAUCUAGAUAAUACUGGUAAUUUACAUCUUAGACAUUUGAUGAUUACUGUACAUCAGCAGGUAUCGAUGUUGAGCAUCCAAUUCCACAUGUACAUAUACAAAAAUAGAUUGGCAAAAUCAUUUUUAAGCAAUUGCAGGUAAUUGCAGGAACUUUGCUUAUGCAUACAAAAUUACCAAUAUAUGCAUGGGGUCAUGCUAUUUUACAUGUUGCAGCAUUAGUUCGUGUUAGACCCAUCACUUAUCAUCAAUAUUCUCCAUCACAGCUUGUACUUGAUCGACAACUUGACAUUUCCCAUCUACACAUUUUUGGUUGUGUUGUGUAUGUUCUUAUAUUUAUGUUGGCUUUAAAUCACCUUUAAUUAUCAGAUAUCUUGAACCCUUGAUGGGUGAUCUUUUCACCACACGUUUUGCAGAUUGUCACUUUGAUGAGACAAUUUUUCUAUCAUUGAGAAAUGGAAAGCCUCUUGAAGUAAGGCAUGAAUUCUCUUGGAAAGUUCCCACUUUGUCUCACCUAGAUCCUCGCACCAAUCAAUGUGAAAAUGCAGUGCGAAGGAUAGUACAUUUACAGCAAAUUACAAAUCAAUUAUCAGAUGCCUUUACAGAUAUAGUGAAGGCAACCAAGUCACACAUUCCAACUGCUAAUACGUCAGCCCGGGUGGUUGUUCCUGUUGAAUAAUCAAGUGUAAAAGUGGUAACUUAUUUAUUAGGCUACAAAAACGUGGUAGACCACUUGGUUCCAAAGACAGUGCUCCCUAAAAGAAGAGAAUAAAAAAUCAGGAUCCUGUUGAAAAUAAAGCUCGAGCUAUAGACAUACCCACAUUAUCUAACUCACUAGAAGAACUGAUGGUUCCUUAAGAGGCACAUGUUCCUAAAGAGACAGUAACCCAUGAAGAGGUAGGAGAAUAUAAAAAUGAGGAAAAAUCCGUAAAUUUUACUUAUACAAAGGAAAUAUGGGAUCAUAAUAAAAUAAACAUCGACAAUGUGCUUUCAUUCACAGUAGCUAUUGAAAUUACAAAGGAUUUCGAGCAUAAAAUUGAUGAUGAAUGUAGGCAAAGGCAUGAUUGGCCUCAAUGGAAAGAUGCGAUUCAAGCAGAAUUAAGUUCUCUGGCUAAACAUAAAGUCUUUGGACUUGUAGUUCAGACACCUAAAGAUGUCAAACCCGUUGGAUACAAAUGGGUAUUUGUAAGGAAACGUAAUGAGCAUAAUGAAAUUACCAGAUAUAAAGCGCGACUAGUCACACAAGGUUUCUCCUAGAGACCUGGUAUUGAUUAUGAGGAUACAUAUUCUCAGAUGCUAUUAUGUUUCAAUUUCUAAUCAGCUUAGUAGUCUCUGAAAGACUUGACAUGCGUCUCAUGGAUGUAGUGACCGUAUAGAUGUAUGGGUCACUCGACAUUAUUUUUUUAUGAAAAUCCUUAAAGGAUUCAAAAUGCAUGAAGCGUUUAAAUAAAAAAGAUCGUAAUCUAUGUUCAGGGAAAUUAGCAUGGUCAUUAUACAGAUUAAAACAAUCUAGAUGCAUGUGGUACAAUCAUUUGAGUGAAUAUUCGAUUAAAGAAGGAUACAAAAAUGAUUCAAUUUACCCAUGCGUAUUCAUUAGAAAAUCAGAAUCUGGAUUUGCAAUUGUAGCAGUCUAUGUUGAUUACAUGAAUUUAAAUAGAACUCUUGAAGAGCUCCUAAAAACUACUGAAUAUUUAAAGAGAGAAUUUGAAAUGAAAUAUUUAGGGAAAAUAAAAUAUUGUCUCGACCUAUAGAUCGAGCAUAAAACAAACGGAGUGCUUAGUCAUCAAUCACCUGAUAUUGAGAAAAUAUUAAAACGAUUCAAUAUGGAUAAUGUUCAUCCAAUAAGCACUCCUAUGGUUGUUCGAUCUCUCGUUCCUAAAAAGGAUCCAUUCCGGCCCAAAGAGGAUGACAAAAAGAUACUUGGUCCAGAAGUGCCAUAUUUAAAUGCAAUCGGCACUUUAUUAUAUCUAGCUCAAUGCACCAAACUAGACAUUGCAUUCUUUGUGAACUUAUUGGAGAGAUUUAGCUUAGCAUCCACACAUUGACAUUGAAAUGACAUCAAACAUAUGUUUCGAUACCUUCGUGGAACGUCAAACUUGGGUUCUUUCAAACGAGCCAACAGAGAAUCCUAGUCUUAUCGAUUAUGCAGACACAGGUUACCUAUUUGAUCCCCACAAAGUCCGCUCACAAAUAGGAUAUGUUUUCACUUACAAUGGAACAACAAUUUCGUGGCGAUCUACAAAGCAAACUUUCGUUGCCACCUCUUCUAAUCACUCAGAGAUCUGUACACUGUAUGAAGCAAGUAGAGAGUGUAUUUGGAUGCGGUCUAUUAUCCAUCAUAUUCAAAGCACGUGCAAUUUGGCCUUCGCAACAGAUGUUCCAACAAUUAUACACAAAGACAAGGCUACCUAUAUUGCUCAAAUCAGAGAAGGAUACAUAAAGGGAGACAGAACUAAGCAUAUCUCACCAAAGUUUUUCUACACUAAUGAGCUGUAGCAGGACAAGAAAAUUGAUGUAAAGUAAAGACACUCCAUUAAUAAUCUUGAUGAUCUUUUCACUAAAGUUUUUCCCACGAGAAGUUAGUUCACAAUAUUGGCAUGCGUCGACUCAAUAGAUUAUCAAACUGAUACUUGACAGUUGAGGAGAUAUUUCAUCUGGGGGAGCAUAUUUUGAAGAUAGGAGUUCUUGCAUCUAUAUAGACAAAUGUGUAUUAUACUCUUUUUCCUUCGACCAGGUUUUAUCCCACUAAAUUUUACUGGUGAGGUUUUAACGAGGCUGUAUUAAACAAACCUAAUUAAGUACAUAAAUGGUAAAGUUCAAGGGGGAGUGUUAUAACUAAUAGGUGAACUUUCACGGUUUUGUAAGUGAAAAAUGUCCCACAUCGGCAAGUGAUGAUUACAAACAUAAUGAUGAACUUCCACCAUUUAUCCCACAUUGGUAAAUCAUCAUUUACCCCUCAGCUUUCCAAUUCUAUAUAUAUGUAACGUAUUCAUUCGUCUUGGUGAUAAUAAAAUUCAAAAGCUUAUCACUAAUAAGCUUAGUAAUAAGGUACUUUUUAAGUACUUUGUUUAAUUCAAAAUUUUCUGUUAUUUAUUUAUUUUAUAACAUAAAUGUUUUAGUUCAACUUUUUAACCUUUUUUUUCGUUGCUUGCCUUGUUAGGGACUCCUUUUUCUGAAGCUUGUCAUUGUUUUUUUGGUCGUUGAGCAUAAAUAAACAGAUAUACGCUUAUUAUUGAAAAAAAAAAUCAACCCUAUUUUUGAAGCAGUGAUGUCGAGUAAAAUAAAAUAUUUAACUUGUUUCGGUAUUUUGGAGAUGACGCACUCGUGGAGCCUUGGAGUCGGAGAGGUGCGAAGGAUUUUGGGAUUAACAAAAGAACGGAAUGGAGGAUUUAUAUAGAGGAAAGAGUUGGGUAUGGACUGUGGAAUGGAAAUAAAAUUCUGUGAAAGUCUGUUAAACGUAAAAUGGAAUGAAUUUAAUGAUUGAUAAAUAGAUAAAUACACAUCAAAUCUCUUUAAUUUUUCAAUCAACCUUUUUCUUUUUUUAUUAUUACAGUAGACUAUUAAAUAUACGUAGCACACUUCUAUUUAUUGAUCCCCUGCUAAAAAACAAUUAAAUACCGAAUUAAUUUGUUAAUCCCAUAACAAUAAUCUUGUUAAUAAUGAAUUGUUUUACUUAUUUAUAACCGUAAACAAAGAAAUUACAUCUCCAGUGAUUGUCCAUGCAAUCUUUGGCUCUGUUUGGUGAUUUCUUUCCAUUCUCGACCGGCUACUGCUUCCAAGUAUAUAUAGGAAUUUGUGUAGCUAGCUAUAUAAAUAAUUGUCUACCAAUAUUCAAUUGAACUCAUUAAUUAUCUUUAAUUUUUUUUUGGGCGAUGCAUCUUUGAAACGCGAUUCACGUGUAAACAUUAUUGCAAUGGGAGUUAAACGUGAUUCACGUGUGAACUCAUGAUUAAUUAUCACAUUCAUGUGUUUACGUAAUCGAAGUAAGAGAGGUUACGGAGGCUUUCGAAAGAUCGUUACACAUUAACUGACUUGUUAUUUUUCUUUUCCCCUUUCUUCCUUUAAUAAUAUUUUAUUGUAUUAUUAAAAAAAAAAUAUCAUUUCAUAUUUCAUAGUUAAAACGUCAAAUUUCUAUGUUUACAUAUAUGAUGCUGAAAAUUAUAUCUCAUUAAUGUCUUUUUAACUUUUGUUUUUCACUACAAGAAAUUAGGAUAUAUGUGACCGCAAAAGCGGCUUUUUACACAGUGGUUCGUGACCGUAUACGGCUUUUGUGGCCUCUUAUAUGACGGUCAGACAGCCGUCACAUAUAUACUAACUAUGUGUCAAUUAGUAAAGUUACUAAAUCAUUUCAUACAAUAAUAAUGAAAAUAUUCUUGAAAAUUGUUAAUAAUAAAAUUGUUAAUUUGUUUUUAAUUAGAAAAAUAUUAACAAUAAUUCAAAAAAGAAAAAAAUAACUAUUUCCAUUUGAAAACCAAAAUCCUAAUCCUAACACUAACAUGUCGCCGGUAAAUGGAAAAUGCCGACGAUCUUCUUCUUCAUCUUAUUCUGCGAUCUUCUAUUUUGGUGGCUGUUACUAGGUUUUGCAACUGCAAUUUCCCUGUCAAAAGAGACGGUUACACAACAUUUAAUUUGGAACGCGGCGCGUAUAAAAGCAUCUCCAAAAUGCUCUUCAAAUAAGAUUUUAUUACUUAUUUAAAGAGUCACAUCAGCAUUUAAGACCCCAAAAUAUACUCUAAUUAAGAUUUUUCAAAUGAAAAAUAAUUCUCUCUUUAAACUUGUAGUGUUGUUUUCUUUCUCUUCAAUUUAUAUUUUAUUACCUUUUAUUGGAGAGAGAGAAUUUAUUUUUCUUUUGAAAAAAUAUUUAUUUGAUUAAAAUAAUAUUAAUUUAUUUCUAUUUGAAGAGUCUUUUAAAAAAUAAUAUAUUUUUUCACUCUCCUCUUUGUCACAUAAUUAACCAAAUAAAAUAAUUGAAAAGUAAAGUUAAUAGACUUUUUUUUGGAGAUACUCUACCUCCUCUUUACAGUUACAAAGCCAUCACAAAAGGUCAUAUGUAACUGCAAAAUAACGGUCAUAUAAAUCACUUUUUCUUGUAGUGAAUUUAUUUUUUGCGACUUUGAUAAUAUUCCUCGAUGUAUUGGUUUUAGCAGAGAGGAAGUUUUCUUGCCAUUAUCACGAUGAUAAGCACUAUUUAUAAAACAUAAACAUUGUUAAUGAGUUAUUAAGGUCUCAGUUCUCUGUAAGUUGCAAAAAUUAGCUAACUAAUAAACAUGUAGAGUCUGUUUAAUAAAAAUAUUGAAGAAGAACUGGAGCAUAAAUAGCUAAACUAAUAUGAACAAAGUCGAGCAAAGUCAUACAAUUUUAUGUCAGCUGAAAACAAAUCUACACUCAUAUAAUAUUAUAAUUGACAGACAACAACAAUACUCAUAUUUUUAUUCAAUUAAACAUAAGACAAAAGAGAACACAACAUGUACCUAACCAAUAUGGUUAGGGUUCCUCCUGUAUUAAGGAACCAGUUCAGAGGCGGAUGUAGUGUAGGACUAGUGGGGGCUCAAGCUCCCACUGAAAAAACUGAAAAAAAAAACUCCUUUUUGUUUAAAAGAAAAAUUAAUAAAUUUUUAAAUAAUCCCUGUCAGAUUAUCAAAUAGCCCCGUUCUUUCAGUUUCUACAACCACAUAAGAGAGAAUAUUUUUAACAAUGAAAUUUGUGAAGAAUAAAUUUCGCAAUCGGAUGGGAGAUGAAUGGAUAAAUAAUAAUUUGAUUGUUUAUGUAAUAAAGGAUGUAUUUAAUAGUGUUGAUAAUGAAUCUAUUGCACAAUGUUUUCAGAAUAUGAAAUCACGUAGAGAACAAUUGUAAAUGUGUUAUAAAAAAUUGUAUAUAUUCAAGUUUCAGUUUUUAUAUUUUGUUGUUAUUUAAUUUAACCCCUAGUAAAUUAUUUUUCUAGAUCCGGGAACUACAAGAAGAUUAAAAUUGUCAUUUUUUAAGUCUUUGUCAACAGCAAUGCUUAUUCACAUGUACAUAAAUUAAAACAUGAAUUAUAAGUAAUAUUCAAAUGAACUUGGCUUAAAAAACAACCUGCGCAACGAGUUUCCAUAUAUUCUUCAAAUCAGAAAGGGAAAGUUCUCUGCUAGCUUUUGGUGAACUGUAAUCAAAAGAAAGUUGUAGACUUGAACGAGUUUCCAUUUCUGCUGGUUUGAUAUGAUAUGAUACAUACACACAUACAUACAUAUAUGUAUGUAUCCAAAAUCUUGAAUUUUAUAAAAAUCUAAGAAAAUUAUUAAAUUAUGAAGUUUAAUGGCAUAAUUGCACAAUACUAUUAAACUACACAAUUUAAUAACUUUUUCAGAUUUUAAUAAAGUCAAGGAUCCUAAUCAAGUAGUCAACAGUACCAUGGUAUUCAUUAAUUACGGAUCAACGGCUGAAGUUUUGUUAUAAUCCAUAAAUUGUCAAGAUUAAGGGCCAUGGUCAAAAGAUUGUGAUAACUGCGAAAUAUGCAACGUCUAGUCCACAAUAAUAUCAGUAACUGUAAAAAGGAAGACAAAGAAAAUGAUUAAAUACCAUUAUCAACUAUCGAACAAAAGCGAAGCAAAAUGCAUGGCAUAGACAACGAAUCAACAGUUGACGGUUUUUUGCAAAAUAAUUAAGUUUAACGGCUGUGAACACAACUCAAAAUAUCAUUUAAAAUGAUAUGACUAGGGGUGUUCGCGGAUGAAAUUUUGCAUAUUGGAUAUAAAUUCAUAUCUAAUUCACGAAUUUGCGAAUUAUAAAUUUUCAAUUCAAUCCAAUUCACGAAUUGGUGAAAUUUAAUUUAAAUCCAAUCAAUAAGUUUGUGGAUCAGACAUAAAUUUGACCUAAUCCAUAUCCAAUCACCAUUUUAUUAAUUGAUUUGUGAAUUAACAGUUUUUAAUUUUGUCCAAUCCAUCAAUUCAUUAAAUAAGAAAAUCUAAUAUAAAAAUAAUUUUAUUACUAAUUAAAUUCAAAAUUGAAUAAUAUUUAAAUAAAUUAAUUGUUUAAAUAAAACCAGAAUAAUACAUUUAAAGUUUCAAAAUAUAACACAGCAAAGGGAAAAGAUCACAUUUGUUUAGAUUAAAAUAUAAAAAUUAACUAAAAUUAUUAAAACUAACUAUUUAAGAAGCUAUAUUUGUUUAUUUAAAUAUUUGAUUAUUUAAUUUUUUUAUUAUAAUUGGAUAAGAUAUAAUAUGGUAUUAAUGUAAUUAUAUUUUAAUUAAUUUAUUCAUUAGUAAGUAGUAAUGCCACAUUUACAAGUUUUAUUUUUUAAUUUAAUAUUUUUGUUUGUGGAUUUACAUAAGUAAAUCCAUAUCUAAUCCACUAUCUGUUAAUUUUUAAAUUAUCAAUUGAAUCCAAUCCAUCAAUCCAUAAAUGAGAUUUUUAAUGGAUUAGAUAGAUUAAAUUAAAUUCAAAACACCCAUAGAUAUGACAUGAAUCAAUUAAAUAGUGAGAUAAUGUUAUUAAAAUUAUAAACAAUCGUCAAGUAUUUAAUAAAUAUACGACACAUUAUUUGCCACGAAAGAAACAAAAUCGAAAUAAAAUUUUUAGAUAUUUAUCUGCUUUUUAAAUGAUUGCAACAAGUGUGAAACACAUGGUUUGAUGGUCCACAAAAUAUAUAAUUGUCAAAAAGAAGACGGACAAAGUAAUUGAUGAUAAACCAUCUUGUACUUUAUUGCAGUACAGCAUGAUUCACACUUAUCCAUCUUGUACUUUAUUGCUGCACAACAUGAUUCACACUUUUUGCAAUCAGUAUUUAAAGAAAAGAGUUUUUAGAGUGCACCAGUGUUACUGCACUUAAUUAAAAGAUAUAAAAAUCACUACAUAAUUGAUGGUUGUAUACAAUUAGGGAGUCCCUAUAUUACAUUAAAUAUAACAUACACUCCACAACAACCACAUAAAUGAUGGACUCACACAAUUUAUGUAGUUGUUAUGGAGUGUGUAUGUUACAUUUCAUGUAACAUAACAUUUGGCAUACAAUUAAACUAGGCAUGUUAUAUAUACACAUAUAUUUUGAAUAAAGUAUUUUUAAUGUACUUUAAAAAUUCUCCUAUAAACAUGAUUAUUAUAUGGUAAAAAUUCCCACCCUAUAAAAGAUCUCAUCAUAGCCAAAAAAUAAUUAUAUAUUUAAAAGAAAGGGUAGAUGUAUUUUGAAAGAACGAAUUAGAUAUGGAAAUAAAUAGUGUGUGUUUAUAAAGUCAAUAAAUGUCAAAUGGAAUGAAUUUAGCGAUUAAUAAUUAGGUAGGUAAACAUGAGAUCACUUUUUUCGAUCAACAUUUUUUAUUAUUAAAAUAGGCUAUUGAAUAUUCGUAGCGGACUUAAUUCUAUUUUCUUCCUCAGCUAAAAUAUUGUUAUCACCAAAUUAAUUCGUUAAUCUCAAUCUUGUUAAUAUAUAAUUGUUUUAAUUAUUUAUUUAUAACUCUCUGGGCAGGUAUGCAUAGUCGUGUAUGUUAUUUUGCACGUUAGGCCACGUGUCAUCUGAUUAUCAGCUGGCAUCUAAAAGUCUGACUAAUGAUCAAGUGACACAUGGCCAGACACGCACAAGUACAUAUGCGAUGGCAAACACCAAAUCAGAUUUCGUUAUUUAUAAAUGCAAAUUAAGAAAAUUAGAAGAUCGCCCCUGAUUGUCCAUGCAAUUUUUGUUGGCUCUAUUUCGUGAUUUCUUCCCAUUCAUGUAAUUCCAUAAUUAAUCCCAUAAUAAGUAAUAUAGAUCAAGAAGCAAAACAGCAAAUAAUUAAUUCCAUAAUCCCUAGAUUUAUGGCAUAAUCGUAUAUAUUUAAUUUUCUAGUUUAGCUUUCUGUAACGCACACCUCUACUGCAUAAUUCAUGAGUCUAGAGAAAACCUUUCGUUUUCUAACAAUGAGUAUCUGCAAAUGAAAAAAAAAAAUUGUGCAUUCACAUUUUAGUAACUGCUCGUGCCUGUAUUAGGCGUGACUUGCUUUCCUUUCCACCCCGAAAAUCUUAAUUUGGGGUAUUAAUUGAUGUCGUAGCCUGAAAUAUUACUGAUGUCUUCACUAAUUUUAUUAGAUAGUAGAGAGAAAGUAUUCCUUGAUGAAAUUGUAUUUAGCAGAGAGGAAGUUGUCAUUAGGGACAUGCUUCUUAAAAAUGGGAGAAAAAGUUGUAAUGCCUUUUUUUUUUUUUACGAUGAUACGUGCUAUUUAAACAAAUAAAACAUUCUUCAUUAGUUAUAAAGAUCUUGUCCGCUGCGACCUACAACAUUAGUUGAUUACUAAUAAAUAUCCAGAGUUUGUUUCACAAAAAUAUUCAAGAAAAGAGAAAGCAUAAUUAAAAAGAUAUGGCACAAACAAAAUAUUACAUACUAUGCACAAUAAUUUUAUUUAUUAAGAAAGACAAAUUGCAUGAAUACAAACAAAGAAAAUCUCUUGCAUAUCUCAAGAGAUCUUACUAAUUAAACUAAAACAAACUGGCAUUCACGCGAAACCAUCGACUGGUAAUGACAACGAACGGUGCCCACCAUUUAUUCAAUUAUUACAUAUAACACAUCCAAAAGAGUAACUCUGUUUAUAUUUAACCAGCGUGAUUAGGGUUCCCUCUAUAUUGAGAAAUCAGAAGAAAAUCAAGAUUGUGAUCCACAACCUCAUCAUCAGCAACACUUCCAAGAUAUGGGUCACCCCAACUUUCAGUCCAAUCGUUAUUACCUGAAAAGUUCAUAUUAUAAAAUACACGUAUUAAAAUAAAAAUUAUAAAUGAUGUUCAAUUAAAAAUGCAUGGCCUAUAUAUAAACCUGCGCAAGGAGUUUCCAUGAUCUUCAAGUCAGAAAGAGAAAAGAUCUUUGCUAGCUUCGGGUGAACCGUAUUCAAAACUCAAAAGGUAAGUAGUUGAGUUUGAGCGAUUUCUAAUUUCUGGUUUGAUCUUAUAGAUAGAUCAAGUAGCCGACACUGCACUGCCAACGUAGCAUAUAUAUAUAUAUAAUCCAUGGAAGACUCUAGAUAAUGGAUCAACGGCUCAGGUUUCAUCCUACAAUAAGUAGGUAAGAUUAACGGCUAGAGUUAUUGCAUGUGCGCAACAUGGUCCACAAAACAAAUAAUUGGAAUAAAAAAGACGGACAAAGUUAUAAAUACCAUUGAACUCAUUAAUUAAAUACCAUUAUCAACUACCAAAAAGAAGGGAAGCAAUAGUGCAUGUAUAGACAACGGACCAACGGUUGAAGUUUUUUCGCAAAAUAAUUGAGUAAGAUUAACGGCUAUUAUCACAGUAUAAAAUUUCAUCUCAAAUGAUAUGACAUUAAUCAAUUGAAUAAUAAAAAAAUGUAACUAAAAUUAUAAACAAGUAUUAAGUAAUUGGUAAAUAUAUGACACAUUAUUUCCCAUACCAUUCGAGAUGCAAUUUAAAAUAAAGUUUUUAGAUAUUUAUAUGUUGUUUAAAUGAUUGCGACAAGUGUGAAACACAUGAUCUGAUGUUCCCAAAAUUAUAUUUGUCAAAAAGAAGACAAACAAAGCAAUUGAUGAUAAACGAUCAUUACUUUACUGCAACAAAACAUGAUUCCCAAAAUUAUUUUGAAAAACAUGAUUAAUUAAUUAAUAAUCACUUAAUUAAUGUAUGUAUGUUAUAAACAUAUUAUUUUAAAAAAUAACUAUAUAAUUGAUAGUUAUAUUUAAUUGAACUACUCAUCUUAUAGAUACAUUAAUUGAAUAUAGUAUCUAAGGUUAUAUAUAUAUAUAUAUAUAUAUAUAUAUAUAUAUAUAUAUAUAAAUUAUGUUCUUGAUUUUUGUCCUAAUAUCAAUAGGAUCGCCAAACCAUUGCAUGAUAGGUUAAAGAAAACUCCUGUUGCAUGGUCGGAAGAACAUACAAAAAUUGUUAAACAUAUAAAGACUAUAGUUAAAAACAUUCCAUGUUUAUUUCUUGCAAAUCCUGCAUUGCCUAAAAUUGUUGAGACUGAUGCAUCAGACCUAGGUUAUGGUGGGAUAUUAAAACAAGUUAAUAAUAAUAAAGAACAAAUAGUACAAUAUGUUUCUGCACACUGGAAUGAAUGCUAGAAAAAUUAUUCUACUAUUAAAAAAGAAAUUUUAUCCAUUGUUUUAUGCAUUUCCAAAUUUCAAAGCGAUUUAUUAAAUCAAAAAUUUCUGCUUAGAAUUGACUGCAAAGCUGCAAAACACGUUUUGGAAAAAGAUGUUCAAAACAUUGCAUCUAAACAGAUUUUUGCACGAUGGCAAGCCAUUUUAAGUGUUUUUGAUUUUGAUAUUGAAUUUAUUAAGGGAGAUACAAAUUCUCUCCCUGAUUUUCUAACCAGGGAAUUUCUUCAAAACAGAUAAUGCCGCCCAAAAGAUGAGACAAAGGGAAAGAGAUCCUCACAGAACCCUUACCCAAAUCAACCCCUAAAGCCUCCCAAUCCUCUCCACCUAAAGAAAAAUUGCUUUCUUCAGCAAUGCCUAUAAAGUCUUGGAUUGACGCUAUUGAAGACCAAGAAGCCUAAUCCAAAGCCCUUGCCUCCUGGGAGCAGGUAAAUGAAUGGAUGAAAUCCAUUUCUAAAUCCCCUGAGUUUCUGCUCGCCUUACAAAGUUUUUCUCAAAUCCAGAUUUCUCCUAAAGAAGAAAAACCUAUUUCUAAAGAAAUUUAUAAACCUCCUUCACAAAAUGUAAUUCUUUCUAGUGAAAGUUCAUCUUCUCAGAUUGUUCUUUCCCAAACAAAACUUUCAAAGAAAACAUCGGAUUAGUAUGAUAAAACUCAUUUCCAAAAUAUUUUAUCCAUAGAAGAUGGUUUUUACCACACUGAUCCUUUUCAAGCAAUUUCAAAUUUUUUUCCCAAAGGCUGGUUUUUCAAACCUUGGGAUUUGACAAAACCUCAGUCUUAUUACCAAAGCAUUUUGGAGUCUUCUGAGUCUGUAAAAUUCAAAUACUUCUUCCUCAGUGAAACCCAUACAAAACCAGCUUACUCCACAGCCACCAUUCUAAAAGUUUUGAGCCCAAAAUAGUGGGGAGACCAACUUCACAUACUAAAGCCUUUCCCCGCCAAUUUUCAAAUGCGUUUACCACACUACCUAUCCUAUUCCUACUGGGAUUAUCAACAGGCUUGGUUUAAUACAUUUUUUAUACAAAACCCAAAAAAGACCCAUUCUUGGUUAUUUUUAUUCAACUCAAAAAUAACCGUCUAAAGUCUUCCAAACUGGUUCCAACAGUGGUGGAAUUAUUUUGGGCCAUGCCCUGAAAUCCUCACCCAAAAUGUCAUCCAGUGCCUAAAUCUUUUUAAAACCCACUAUGUACCUACAGAGUCUGAGAAACGAUUUCCUCAUUUUCUCUGCUUCUGUACAAAUUUCUUUCUCCCUUGGGUUUGGAUGUGGAACUUUCGAUACCAUCCACAAGAUGCCCAAUUAAUUCUACAAAGAACCUUCAAAGUCAAAUGGUGGUCAAAAUUUUAUGAACAGUCCAAAUUGACUGUUAACAUGAUCGAAAAUUGGCUCUCCUCUAAAAGCCUUCUACAACCAACCAUCAAAGACAUUAAAGCCCAAGGAACCUUCCUUACCCAAAAAUCCAAGGCCCAAUAUCUUUUGGCCGAUGCCAAAACAGAAGAAGAAUAUUUUAAAGUCAUGGAACAGCUUCUCGCUUCGAGAUCUGAGCCAUCAGUUGCAAGUUCCGGUUCAAGCUCUUCUGGAGAAGCCGAGCCAUUCAUUUCCCUUGGAGAUGAUAAUGAAGAUGAUUGCUUCGGCAUCUUCCCUCCUGUAAAGCAUUGUUAAGUUACUUCGGCAUCUUCCCUCCUAUAAAGCAUUGUUAAAAAAAAAAUAAAAAGAGUACUAAUUUUCUAUUUUUCUCUGUAUUUAUCAUUUGUAUUCAAUUUUAUAAUUCCUGUAAAAUUCUACUGUAAAAAUUACCUUAUUACUUGUAAUACUUUGGGUGGUCCCCUGGACACAAGUGAGAGCGCACAUGUCUCUUCACCCGAUUUUUCCCCUUUUAUAAUUCCAUGUAAUUUUGUUUUGCAAAGCCACUGUUUCAAGCUACAGUUGUGAAGCUACAGACUCGCUACAGUAUCGAAAGCUACAGUUUCGCUACAAUUAAAGACCCAGUCUUUGUAUUUAAAUCGGGAGGAAGACUUAGACUCCUCAGAUUUUGGGGGGCAUUCUGAGAAUUUUCAAGAUGGGACUUACUAAAGACAGAUUGUGUUAUAAAUCUUAUCUUUAGAAACUGCAUCUGUUAUAAAUCUUAUCUUUAUAAACCUUUUCCACGAUCUCGGAUCUGUGUUGUUGGUAUCAGAACACAGGGAAAGUAGGUGUAAUAUUUGGUAAAGCAUCUGUGUUGUUUAUUUCUUUUAUUAAAAAUCAGUGUGUUUGCUGAAUUCUUUACUGGUAGUAAGUCCCAUCUUAAGAUAAGGUUUUCCGCUUAGGGCAGUAAUACCAUACCUGUAGGCAUUCAUAUAGGUUUUAAUUUAAGUUUUAAAUUGCAUGGAUUCUCUACUGCAUAGAACAUCAUCUUUCUCUAGCUCUUCUUCCGAGAAGACUAGUGUUUCAAAGAACGUGGUGAAUUCAGAAUAAUUCAUUAUUGAAUAUUUUAAUAAAGCAAUUGACAAUUGGGAUUUGCCAAAAGUUUCUAAAGAUAAGAUUUAUAAAAUGAAAAAACUUGAUUUUCUAAAGACAGAUUGUGUUAUAAAGACAGAAGAAAGAGAUAUCACACUUUCAAAACCUUUUGAAACAAUUCACUUGUUCUCUGAACAUUCUUUAAAGAAAUUAAAAAAAAAGAAUUUCAAUUAUAUUCAUAUCGGUUUAAUUCAAGUCGGCAUAAAACCCUUAACUAAGGAAGGACUAAAUACUUCCAUUCUUGCUGUCCUCAGAGAUGGGAGGUUCAUCUCCUUUGAUGAUUCCUUACUCAGUAGUAUUGAAUCUAGUCUCUGUAAAGGACCCAUUUCUUUUUAUUGUUAUCCUAACAUAACGGUUUCUUUAAAAGAUAAGAAUAUUUUGAAAAGCAUGAUUUUACAGAUCAAAACGCAUAAUUAUCACAUGUUAGAAGGAUAUGUUCCAGUUGCAUUAAUUUUCAAAAUAUCAUAUAAAGCCAUGAUUUCAACGUUCAAUACGCAACAUAAAUUCCAGUAAAAAAGAGAUGAAACUCUUCUCUUGCAGACUGAUAUGUCUAAAGCCAACACCGUCAUUCCAAAACCAAUCCAAUGGAAAGAUAUCAAUCUUCCAGAUGAAUGGAUUCUUGAAGGAGCCACUCAACCAGUGAUUCCAAAACAACUUGAGCCAAAUACAGAAUUACAAAAUGUGACUCAGUAUUCAGAUGGUAAAGUCAAACUGUCUUUUAGGAGAUCUAUAUCCUCUAGAUUCUCCGAUAAAGAUUCAAUUCCUCAUUUACAAAAGAAAUUUUAAAAAAUACCCUCUGUUAUAAAUCUUCCUUUCCAACCUGUAAAUAGUCAACUUAGGUUUUCCACCUCGGAUAUACCUAGUUCCUCCAUACAUUCAGUUGACUAUGCAACUAGUGUUCCCCAUCCUAUCUACACUAGUCGCCAAAGCCAGGAAGAGAAGGAACCUUCUCCUCCAACUUCUCCUACAUUUUCUGCUGUUACUGAAAAUGUAAUAAAUGUUCUUGAAAAAGACUUUGAAUUAGAUAAAACUCUUCUUCAUAAUGAAUUUUAUUCUAAUUCCAAUGAAGAAAAAAAACUUUGGUUUUUCAAACAUUUCUUAAACCAAAGAAAAGAAAUUCAACAAGUUUAUUAUGAAUUUGUAAAUUUGCAUAAAGUUCAUAUAUUGUUUUUUGAUUGGUUGAGAUGUAUGCUCAGAUAACAAUAUAACUNNNNNNNNNNNNNNNNNNNNNNNNNNNNNNNNNNNNNNNNNNNNNNNNNNNNNNNNNNNNNNNNNNNNNNNNNNNNNNNNNNNNNNNNNNNNNNNNNNNNUUUCUGGUAGCGGAAAAAUCAUAGAAUCUGAGUAUCCACCUCUUAGGAGUCUGACCAUUGAACAUGGUGAACCUCCUGUUGAGAUUAAAGCCUCGCCCUAUAAGAUCCAUAAAGACCCAGAUACGGAUUUAGAUAGCAUCAUUCAACAGAAUAAUUUCUGUAAUGCUAAUCUAAAUACAAUAGGAAAACAGUUGACCCGUAUAGAAAGUCAAUUCCAGAAGUCAACCGUUAUUGUCCCUACUUCUACUCAAACAAAGUCUGAUUCCUUGAAAAAGCUUAAAGAACCUAUUUUCAAACCUUUUCAGGUUUCAAAACAUAGCCAAAAGCUUGUUCAAGAAUCUAAAUCAGAUUUUGCUAAAGCCAUUAAAGAACAACUUCAUAAAAUAGAAGCAUCUCCUUCUUUCGCUUCUACUUCUAAAGUCCAAAUUGCUCCUGAUAGUGCUCAAUCUAGUAAGAUUGGUGUACUAGAACAGGAUCAAUCUUCUAUAGCCUCUUCUGACAUAGAAGCUUUCAAAGAUGAGUCUAUUCCCAAAGCCAAUAAAAUCCAUUGGGAACUUGCUCUCCCAACUGUAAGAACUCCUCCAGACCUUGCCAUCGAUAAUAGACCAAGUGGUAUGUCUGAAUACAAUAUCCUAGGGUUGUUGCAACAGAUGACCAUGGCAGCCAAUGCCUAUAAAACUUAGUCGGGAACUUCUGACAAAGCCAUUGCAGAAAUUCUCAUCGCUGGUUUUACCAGUCAACUAAAAGGAUGGUGGGAUCAUCGUCUCACUAAACAGCAACAACUAGACAUCCUAAAUUCUGUCCAAGUAGACAAAAAUGGAGCCCCCAUUCUCGAUGAAUUCAAUAGUCCAAUUCAGGAUGCAGUUGCUACCCUGAUUCUGACUAUUUCUCUCCAUUUCAUAGGUGACCCUUCUCACCUUAGAGAUAAGAAUGCUGAGUUACUACACAAUCUGAGAUGUAGGAAACUUAGUGAAUUCUAAAGUUACAAAACCACUUUCUUUACCAGACUCUUCCUUUGGGAUGAUGCAAAUCAUACAACCUGGAAGGAAAAAUUUCUUGCAGGCUUACCUACCCUAUUGGGAGAAAAGGUUAGAAAUUUCAUUAAAGCCCUUUAUGAAAAUCGCAUUCCCUAUGAUGAGCUUACCUAUGGUGAACUUGUCAGUUUUGUCAAUAAGGAAGGAUUAAAGAUUUGUCAAGACUUGAAACUUCAGAAACGUCUAAAAUGGGAGCUUAGGAAAUCUAAGCAAGAACUAGGCAGUUUCUGUAAGCAAUUCAAUUAUGACCCCUUUAAAACCUCCACUUCUAAAUAUUGUAAUGGUAAGUGUUCUUCGAAACCUUACAAGAAACAUUACAAAUCAAGAAGUUAUAAAAAACCCUUCCAAGAAUUUAGAGAUCAACUUUCUUAUAAGAAACCCUCGAGGCCUUAUAAGAAGCCCAACUUCUCUAAAAGGAAAGAUUUCAGAGUCUUUUUAAAAGCCUUAGAUUAUGAAAUAUGGGAAAUAGUUUGUGAUGGUUCAUUCAUUCCUAGGAAGAAUGCUUUAAAUGAGUCGGAUAGGAAAAAUAUGUCUUUAAAUUCCAAGGCAAUGAAUGCUUUAUUUUGUGCCUUAGAUAAAAAAGAAUUUCAUAAAGUUUCAAAUUGUUCGAAUGCUUAUGAAAUUUGGAGAAAACUUGAAGUUUUGUAUGAGGAGACUACAAACGAGGAGGAAUCUUAUGAAAUGUCAAAUUUGGCACUUAUGACAAUUGGAGAUGAAUCGGAUGAUGAACAUGAUGAGGUAAGUGAUCUUCCUACAUAUGAUGAAUUACAUGAUGCUUUCAAAGAAUUGCAUGAUGAGUUGAUGAAAAUUGGUAAAAAGAAUGUAUGUCUUAAAAAGAAAAUGGUGGAGCUCAAAAAUGAAAAUGAAUAUCUAAGUGCAAAGAUUACAUGCCUAGAAUUAGAGAAUAAAACAUUGCAUGAUAAAGUUGUAUUAUCAAAUAAGAAACUUGGCACUUCACACGAGCAUCUAAAAUCACAUGUAGAUGACUUGAAAAAUGAAAAGGAUACUUUACGAAAAUACAAUGAUUCAUUAAAUGAAAAGGUUAAAGGACUAGAAUUAGAGAAUAAAACUUUGCAUAAUAGAGUUGCAUUAUCAAAUGAAAAACCAAGCAUUUCACAUGAGCAUCUAGAGCCACAUGUAAAUGAUUUGAAAAAAGAAAAUAAAAUGCUCAAGAAAACGAACAUUGAACUUAGUGAUGUUAUGUUAAAAUUCACAAAUGGGAAAAAGAUAUUGGAUAACUUGCUUAAUUCACAAAAAAUGUGUGAUUGACAAAGAAUGUAUUAGCUAUAAGCCAAAUUUAAAACAAAAAUAUUAUAAGAAUUAUUUUGUGAAGAGUAGCUUCAUUAACAAUCAAGUUGUAUGCCACCAUUUCCAUCAAGAUGGUCACAUGAAGAAUAGAUGUCCAAUUAAAAGAAAUGCAUAUUGUGGAGUAAAAUGUGUUUGGGUUCCAAAAGGAACCAUUACUAACACUCAGGGACCCAAGAGUAUUUGGGUACCAAAGGGCACAACGUGAAUGUUUUCUUUGUAGGUACCACAAUCAAGGAAUGGUAGACAGUUUCUUAAUAAAAGCUUAUGAGGAUAAUCACUUGAUCAUGAUCUAAGAGAAAAUGAUGAGUAAGAUGAUUUAAUUACUUUGGUGACAAUUUUGCCAUAUUGAUUUUUUUGAAUGGAUCAUGAUGGAUAGAUAAUAGCUUGAAUUUGGGAAAGCAUGCUAGUAUGUUACAUAAUUGAAUUAUUAUUGUGUGUAAUCAUGAUGUAUGGAUAGAUAUAUAUGAUGGUAGCAUGUCAACUUAUCAUGAUGCCUUUGUUUGAUUUUGAUAAUUGUAUGAUCUUUGAUUUCAUCUUUUUAAUUGUCUAUCAUCAUGUUUUAUGUCAUUUAUUCAUUUUCCUUAUUUGUUCAUCACUUAUGUAUAUAUGCAUAUGUCAUAUAUCACCUAUGUGAGCAUUUGUAAUAAUGGAUUUGACCACUUGUUCUUUAGCUCAUAAUGAUGGUUUUUCUUAAUAGUUAUGUUGAUUUUGAUGAUCUAUAUAUUGCCAUAUGUUGAUUUUGAUGAUCUAUAUAUUACCAUUAUGUACUUAUGUUUUACUUAAGUUUUGAUGAUAAAGAAUAUGCUUUGAUGAUUACAUUGUAUUUGAUGAAAUUUGAUCUUAUGCAAUCUAUGAUUGGUGAAUGGAUGCAUUUUUUGUCCUUUAUCGAUGUAUUAUUGAUUAUGCAUUACUUGUUUUAAAUGAUGCCGAAAGGAGGAAAAAUACAUAUACUUCGAGACUUUUAAGCAUAUAAGAUAUUUUAAGUUAUAUUGAAAUGGCACAUUGGAUCUUGAUGAGUUUAGUUGUCUUGAUUUCUAAAACGUGAUUAGUAAGUAUGGAGCUUGGAUAGUUGAUAAUAUGUUCUUAUAACCUUUGCAUGCCAGUUUGGUAAAAAAAUCAAAACCUCUUUGCUAAUAACAAUUUUCAAAAAUUCGGCAUAAACUUGGGAUGAUGAAAUUUACUAAUAUCUCUAAUCAUGUUAUUAAUACUAUUAAAAUUGAUUUCUUAAUGAUUUUGAUGAUUGAUGAUUAUAUGUGUGUUCCUUGAUAAAUUGAUGGAGUUGUUGGUUUGUUAUAUUUUUUUAAACUUAUAUGGAAGUGUUUUUAACCAUGUUGCAUAUUUGAGGAUUUGUUCAUUUUUAAGGGGAGACUCUGCCGAAAUUUUUGCUCGCACAAAAUGGGUAAUAUCUUCAUCGAAUUAUUUUUUAUGAUCUUGUUUCGAUUGCAUCUAUCUAUCUUUUCUUUUCUUUUUAUGAUGAAGGGAGAGAUAAAUAUGAUAUUUUUUGGAUAAAAUUAUUUUGGUUAAAAUUUUAAAUUAGCCAUAUAUUUAGGGGGAGCAUACAAUAUGAUUUUGGAUAAUAUGUAUUUUGAACUUUUUUGUUGUUCAAAGGGGGAGACAAAGUAAUAUAUCAUUUCGAUGUUGUCAAAAGGAGAAGAAUAAUAUGCACUUUGAAUAUUGUUUUGAUGAUUGAUAUAUGAAUAUGGUGAUGAUUUUGAUGAUUUUGGGAUGUGAUGAUGAUUUGAUUACACGGUUGUUUUAUAUGAUAGUUUUAUGUUAUGAGUUGUUGAUUUGGUAAUUGAUGGAAUAAUGGUUCAUGAUCUUUUUAUGGUUGAUGGAUUGUGCGAUGAUUUGUAUAUGGAGUUGACUUGUAUCAUGAUUUAUAAUAAUUUGGGAGUAAUAUUACUAAACUUGUAUUUGAGGUGAUGCUUGUUGUUAGGGGGAGAUUCUAUCCAAAUUUCUACUCAGACAACAUGGAUAACAAAUUUGCUACUCUUUUUCUUUUCUACUAAGUUUUCUUUUUUCUGAUGAAGGAAGAGAAGAAUACAUGUAUUUAAAUUUGUUAAUUUAGCUAAUUGGUAAAUUGUAAAAGAAGCUUACAUUUAGGGGGAGCAAUUUGUAGAAUCAUUCUUUAAAUACAUGAAAUGUUUGUCAUCAUAAAAAAAAGGGGAAGAUUGUUAACAUAUAUGUUUCCAUAAUGUUGAUUUUGAUGAUAACAAACAAGAUUAAGAAUGAUUAAGUUUUUAAAAGUUCAAAUUAUUUUUUAUAUAUUUUUAAUAAAUCAUUAUUUUCACAUUAUAAAAGUUUUUUAUUUAAUAGAAAAAUGAUUUUAUGAAAUUGGUUGUUUUUCAAGUUUAUGGUUUAAUUGAAAGAGCUUUAAAAACUUUAAAAUCAACAAGUAUUGCUUGGAAUUUUGGAGAAGGAACUUAUUUGAAAAGUUUCCUAGGGUUUUAGGUCAUAUCAUAAUUUCAUAAAGUUUUGGGAAUAACAAGUAUUAUUUAGAAAUUUUGAAAUUGGAUAUUUUUGUAAAGUUUUAUGACUUUUUGAGCCAUAGUAUAAUUUUAUAAAGAUUGGGGCAAACUGUAAUUUUGGAAAAAAAAUCAUUGUAGCAAAGCGGCUAACCGGAUUCAUGAAAGUGGCAUACCGGAUGUGCAAAAAUUUAAAAUUUUGAACAUAAAGGUAACAUGAAGCGGCUAAGCGAAUUCACAAAAGCAGCAAGCCGGUUAUCACCAAAAAGUCAAUAAUGGCUAGUUUUCUUCCUCAACUAUAAAUUGGCUCAAAUCAAACUCAUUCAAGAUGAUGCAACCAUUGAUAUUUUGAGCAUUUUCUCUGCAAAUCUAAAAGAAUAAACGUUGUGUAUUUAUUUCAUUUAUUCACACAUAUUGGGCUUUCAUUUGUAUUCAAACACAUUUUGUGAGAGAAAUUUUUAUAAUCCUUUUUGUAAAAUCAAAUUGAGAGGUUGUAAGUGUUGGGAUACACUUGGGUUAAGAGAUUGUGGAUAAUCUCUUGUUGUAAAGGUCCAUUGACACCUUGGAAGUCAAUUGUAAGCGUUUAAAACCUUGGAAGGCUUGGAUAAUGAAAUCCUCAUGGAUUUCAACUAAAUUUGCUUGCUUCAAUAAUAAAAUUUACAAUUAUAUCGACAUUAUGUGUUAAAAUGCUACAUUUGGCUAUUGACAACAACAACAAAAAUUAAUAAUUACCAAAAAUAAGCAAAAGCAAAAAAUUUAAAAAGAAAUACACAGAAAGGAAUGAAAAUUAUCUUUGAUUGAUCAGGUCGUAGCUAAGGCGGCGAUGGGCAGUUAAGUCCGGUGAAAAAUCUGAUCGUUGACGAGAAGGGGUUAGCGGCUAGCAGCAAAGCUUGCUCUUUGGCAAGAGGCAAUAUCGAAUUUGAUGGUGGUGGAGCUUGAUUGUUGUUUGUUGUUCUUAAUAAUAAUGGAUAAUGAACUGACGAUGAUUUAAAUUGAUGAUGUAUUGAUGAACCAUUGAAUUAAUAUUGAGCGUUGGGGAUGAGGAAGAUGAAGAUUGAGGUGGCGGCUAGGGCUUGUUUUACUCAAUUUUUUUUCCCUAAGGUGGCGGCUGGUGUGUUUGUUUUCUUUUACUUUAGGGUUUCUAGGUUUGUUUUGUUUGCUUUUAAGCUUUGCAACAAAAAUUAAUUAAUAAAUGAAUUAUAAAAACAGUGUAGUCUGGGUCUGGGUUCUGGAAAUUCGGGUUCACCCAAACCCGGAACCAGACCCGGAUAUGUCCGGGUUUUAAAAAAACAAACCGGAUCCGCAUUAUUAAUGCAUCCGGUACGGGUUGAACCCAGAUCGGAUCGUUCAGGUAUUUUCGAGUCCCAACCGGGUCCAAAAAAAUUUGCCAUCCCUAACGGCAGCACCACUGGAAUUGGCAGCGAAAAGCAUAAAGGAAUAAGGGGUUUCUUUUGGAUUUUUUUCAUUAGACACCCUACUGUCUUACUAAUUUAUGUUUGCUACCAAAGUUUGAAAUUGUGUUGCAUUUAAGUCCAAUAGUAUAUGUUGGUGGCGGCUGGAAGAAAAAUAAGUGAUUUAGGGUUUUGGGUUUAUACCCCAUGGCACCCUACAAUUUCAUUAUUUUACGGUUCCGCCUAAGUAUUUUGGGUUUUGGGCAGAAAAAUUCAAAAUUAUUUAUAUUGGAUGCAAGCCCAUUAUUGACUAUCAAUUGGAUAAUAUAAAUAGAAAUUUGAUAACCCCAAUUGUUAUUAUUUGUCCAAAUUUAUUUAUAUUGGUCCCAAGCCCAUUUAAGGAAUUUCAAAAUUGGGUUAUAUAAAUGAAAAUUUGGUAGAUCAAUAAUAAAAUUUAUUUGGCACAAGAAUUUUUGAAGAUAAAUUUGGGCUUAUUAUAUUAAACUAAUUGGGUCUGGAUUAUAUUUAUAAAAAAAGGUAUUUAAAAAUAAGACCCAAUAGAAUUUUUAUUUAAAAGGUGGCCAAAUUUAAAUUUAAAAAUUGAACCAAGGAUAAAAUUUUAAAAGCCUAAAAAUCCCCAAGCCAAUAAUUAUGGAUAAGAACAAUACAAGGAAAAGAAAGAAAGAUGGAUAUUGUCUUGAAGCCCAGUAGAUAUUAGGCUUAUAGAUUAAGUCGAUUUUUUCUUAGGAAAAUCAUGAAUUGAGAUUGUUUAAUUGCUUUUAUCUAUAUGCUAUGUUUGGUUGAUAACAUGCCAUGAUAACAUGUCAUAUAGAAUAGGAAGUGUCACUCAAUGCAUCAUAAUACUAGUAUCAUAAAAUAUAUGGCAUCUAUAAAUUAUGAAUGCAGAUAUAUAUAUAUAUAUAUAUAUAUAUAUAUAUAUAUAUUGUUUGACAUUUGCACGUGCUUAAUAAUAUUAUAUUGCUUCUAAAUAAUAUUAUUUUGAGAAGCAUGCAAUUAACAAUAUAGGAUAUAAUCUGUAUAUGUUUGAAAGGAAAAAAAAACCUUUAAAAUAUUGAGUGGGAGAGGGAAAAUUCAAGAUAAUUUUUUCCACGGGCUUCAUUGUUAGUUCAAUAAUAAAAUUAUAUAUAUAUAUACCUCGACUUCAUGAUAUAGUGUUACUCCCUACGGAGGGUAUAUAUAUUAGACAUUUUAUUUGAUGAACUUCUUUACAGAUAAGAUCGAAAUAUUUUUCAAUCUGUUGAUCACCCUAACGGUGGCUGCAUGAUAUGAAAGAUACGUAUAUUGAAACAAUGGUUAUACACUCAACAAAAAUUUGUUAUUAGCCUUCCUAACGAAGCUCUGUUAACAAAUUUUGGCCCUAAAAGAUAACGAUAAUUAUUUAUCAUGUUUUUGACAUGAAAGUAAAUAAUCUAGUGGUUAAUUGUGUCUAAUAAGUGUAGACAUUUCUUCCCCAACGACUAUCUUGCCAAAUCGGUACUAGAUUAUUGUUACAAAAAAAUAAAAUGCAUUUAUGGUUUUUUGCAUUUUAAAUUAUUUAUUGUGGACAUUAUUUGUUUCGAAGUGUUUAUACAUAUCUAUUUUAUUUUUCAGAAAAUGUCUUUCCUAAGCCCACUCAUCAUUAUUAUGAGUCGAAAUAAACUCACUGGCGAGAACAACAUAGAUUGGAAAUGAAAUCUAUUUACAAUCCUAACUGCUAAAAAUUAUAAAUAUAUCUUAACCCAGCCAUGCCCUUCUAAACCAAUAGAGGAUCCUAGUAGAAAUCAAAGGAGGCUUUAUGAGAAAUGGCAAAAUGCUACAUUUUAUCCUCGAUUUCUAAUAUUCUGCAGACCAAACAUCAGAACAUAGAGACAGCCGCUAAAAUAAUAGAAAGUCUCCAAUAGAUGUUUGGGCAGAGUACUUAUAACUUUAUGAAAUGAGAGUUAUCAUGACACUUUUAGACUUAAAUAAAUAAUACUUAGAGAGUAAAUGAGGUGUUUUCAUUGUAUUUUUGUUAUAUUUUGCAUAAACAUUCAUUUUAAUUUAGUCUUAAUAAAUUUUGCUUGAUUUAGAGUAAUUCGUGCCCAAAUUGUGUGCUUAAUUGUAGGUGUCCAGAAGCUUAUCUUUCACGGAAGGGAUGUUGUUGCAAUAGGCUCGCAAAAAUGAGGAAGAACAUGGCUACAUAAAAAUUGAAACAAAAUCUAGAACAAUGUGGUGUUGUAGCCGUUGCUGGAGCAGCCAUUGCUGUAGCAAUCCUGAAACAACGACAGAGAAAAUUUAGCGCGGGAUAUAUGCAGAAUCGAUAUCUGCAGUUUCCUAAUCUGUCUUAUGCGCGCCCUAGGCUUCUGUUUACCCUAGUUUUCAGAUAUAAAAAGAGCACGCAUCAUAUGAAAAAAGGGCGGCAAAUUAACAUUGGAGAAAUCAAAGGGAAAAGGAGAACAAAAUCAGAAUUCACGGGAAAGCAAGUUUGCACCAGUGAAGAUAAACCCGCAGAGCUAUUGUGGAUUCAAUUUUCAUCGUUCUUUACUUGUUUCUUUACUUACUCUUUGAUUGAACCGAUGUAUUUCAUGGCUAAUAUUUUGCUGUUUAUUUUUCUUUUUCUAGGUAUGAACUAAAUUUGAUUGUAGUUGAGUGACAAACAAUCUAAAUGGGUUUUUACUGUUCUUAUGAGUUGCUGCAAGAUUGUUGUAGUGUUUUACUCUAAUAGCUAUUAUUAUAAUCAUUAUUUCAAUUGACCACCCAUUUAAUGGUUCAAGUUAAGAUAGAGCCGCAAAAGGGCAUGUCUUAGUGGAAAUUAUUAAAGUAAUACUUGAUCUUAAUUUAAGUUUCUUGGACUAAGAUUACUUGAGUCCCAAAAGGGCUAUAUUUGAGUUAAGAUUUGUAAAGAACUAGACAUAGGAAUUCACCUUGUAAGAUAGAGAGAGUGUAUGCUCAUAAUGCCAUACCGUAUGUGGCUUAACAAUUGGUCAUUAUUAGGGUGCUUAAGGGUAUGAGAAAUCUGAUAUGCGACAGCUGAGGAUGCAAAAUAAUUAUGCCCAGUGUCGUACGAAUUGUUGUAGCAACUGGUGUUAAUUUAGACAAAGUCCAUCGAGAGAGUUUGAUCACUUAACUACCUCAUUCCCAUUGAAAUCUUUUUAUGCAAUUCAUUUAAUUUGUUUUAUUACUGCAUUGAUUUAUUUUAUUUUUUCUUUUAUUGUCUAUUUCGGUAGUAAUUUACUUUUAAUUAGAAUCUUUUUGGAACAAAUGAAGUUUGCACUAUCAUGAUUGUUGUAGCAUUUCUAGUAACAUCAAUCCCUGUGGAGACGAUCUUGAAUAUUAAUCACUUUAUUACUUAUUGUGUCCACUUGCACAUUGACGUCAAUAGCAAUUAAGUUAAAAAAUAACCAACAAGUACUCACUCUGCGAGACAAGCGGUGCUGAAAGGUGUUAUGAACUCCAAGAUGGGAAAUGGUAUAAGAGUUCGUGAUCAUGUCUUGAAAAUGAUGGACUAUUUAAAUGAGGCUGAGAUUCAGGGUGCACAGAUCGAUGAUAAUUCAAAGAUUGAGAUGGUGCUAGAAUCUCUGCCUGAAACAUUCAAGCAGUUUAAGGUCAAUUAUAAUAUGAAUAAAAGAAAUAUGACCUUAACAGAAUUGAUGAACGAACUCCAUUCAGGUGAAGAGAUUUAUCUUGCUGAAAAAUCUCAAGGAAGCAUUAACCUUACUAAAAAAAUACUUUUUCNNNNNNNNNNNNNNNNNNNNNNNNNNNNNNNNNNNNNNNNNNNNNNNNNNNNNNNNNNNNNNNNNNNNNNNNNNNNNNNNNNNNNNNNNNNNNNNNNNNNNNNNNNNNNNNNNNNNNNNNNNNNNNNNNNNNNNNNNNNNNNNNNNNNNNNNNNNNNNNNNNNNNNNNNNNNNNNNNNNNNNNNNNNNNNNNNNNNNNNNNNNNNNNNNNNNNNNNNNNNNNNNNNNNNNNNNNNNNNNNNNNNNNNNNNNNNNNNNNNNNNNNNNNNNNNNNNNNNNNNNNNNNNNNNNNNNNNNNNNNNNNNNNNNNNNNNNNNNNNNNNNNNNNNNNNNNNNNNNNNNNNNNNNNNNNNNNNNNNNNNNNNNNNNNNNNNNNNNNNNNNNNNNNNNNNNNNNNNNNNNNNNNNNNNNNNNNNNNNNNNNNNNNNNNNNNNNNNNNNNNNNNNNNNNNNNNNNNNNNNNNNNNNNNNNNNNNNNNNNNNNNNNNNNNNNNNNNNNNNNNNNNNNNNNNNNNNNNNNNNNNNNNNNNNNNNNNNNNNNNNNNNNNNNNNNNNNNNNNNNNNNNNNNNNNNNNNNNNNNNNNNNNNNNNNNNNNNNNNNNNNNNNNNNNNNNNNNNNNNNNNNNNNNNNNUAAGUGAAUGAAGCGUCCAAGUUGCAGUUAGGGACAGGGCCAGUUUGUUUCAAUGGUGAAAACUAUAUCUGUUUUAUUAUGUUUUAAUAGUAAGACUUUAAUUUUAAAUAAUUGUCUUUAUGUUCCAGACAUUAAGAGGAAUUUAAUUUCAGUAGCUUGUUUGUCUAAACAAUGGUACACUAUAAAUUUUAGUUCCUCUCUUUCUAUUUUGAAAAAUAAUAGACUAGUAUGUUCUGGUACAUUGGAAGAUAAUUUAUAUCAUUUAAGUCCUCUGAUCCAUUCUAUGCAUGACACAAUGAUUGAAAAUAAUGAGCAUAUGCACUUAUCUAAGAAAAGAAAAAUUUCUUUUAACCAAUGUUACCUCUUGCAUAUACUCUUAGGUCAUAUAAACCUAAAUAGGAUACAAAGAAUGAUCAAAGAUUGACUUUUAGGUCCAUUGGAAAAUAAAUCAUUGUCAUUCUGUGAAUCUUGUUUAGAAGGAAAAAUGACUAAAAUGCCUUUCUCGCUAAAGGAAUACGUGCAACAGUACCACUUCAAUUAGUAUAUAUAGAUGUAUGUGGACCAAUCAAUGUACAAGUUUGAGGAGUUUAUGCGUAUUUCAUCAUAUUCAGUGAUGACUAUUCAAGAUACGGUUAUGUUUAUCUAAUGCGUCAUAAAUCUGAAGCUCUUGAAAAAUUUAAAGAGUACAGGAUUGAGAUCACCAGCACAUGUGCUAAAACCAAAGGCAGACAAAAUGGAUUCACGUUCUGAGGUUUGUAUGUUUGUUGGGUAUCCCAAAAGAACAAUAGGAGGUUUAUUUUAUAGUCCUCGUGGCAGAAAAGUAAUUGUGAGUACACAUUUCACUUCUUUUGAAGAAAACUAUAUGAAUAACUUCAAACCAAAGAGUAAGGCAAUACUAGAAGAGUUAUUAGGAGAUAAUGUUAAUGCUCAGAUUUCGGUACCUAUUAAUCAACAAGAAGAAGACCAAUAAUAUGAACAUCGCAAUAUUACCCCUGAACAGUAAUCAUCUAUAGAACCUCGUCGUAGUGAGAGGGUAAUUAGAUUACCAGCACGGUACAUGUUACUAGGAGAAACUUAUACAACCAUCUCAGAUGGACAAGUAUAGGAUCCCACUAGCUAUAAUGAAGCUCUAUUAGAUGGAGAUGCUGAAUUAUGGAAAAACACUAAGAACCAAGAAAUGGAAUCUAUGAAUUCCAAUAAAGUCUGGAAACUUAUAGAGGCACCAAAUAGGUUUAAACUCAUAGGGUGUAAGUGGAUCUACAAGAGAAACAUGGGAGUAGAUGGAAGGGUGGAAACAUUUAAAGUAAGAUUAGUAGCCAAAUGGUAUACUCAGAAAGAGGGAAUCGAUUAUGAGGAAACAUUUUCACCGAUUGCUUUGCUUAAAUCCAUUAGGAUUCUACUCUCCAUCAAUGCAGUGUUGGAUUAUGAAAUUUGGCAAAUGGAUGUCAAAACUGCGUUUCUUAAGGGGCAUUUUGAAGAAGACAUCUAUACACAGCAACCAUAUGGGUUCAUUAAAAAAGGCCAAGAACACAUAGUAUGUAAGUUACAAAAAUCUAUUUAUGGAUUAAAGCAAGCAUCUCGAUCAUAAAAUAUCAAAUUUGAUCAAAUAAUUAAAACAUUUGGAUUCAUACAGAAUAUUGAUGAGCCAUGUGUAUAUAAGAAAAUUCAGGGAAAAACUAUAGUUUUUCUUGUUCUUUAUGUAGAUGACAUUCUCUUAAUUGGAAACGAUAUCGAAGUAUUAUCAUUAAUAAAGAAUUUGUUGGCUAAAUAGUUUGAUAUGAAAGACCUAUGAGAGGCAAGCUAUAUUCUUAGGAUUAAAUUGCUUCAAGACCGGAAGAAUAAAACUUUAGCCUUAUCCCAAACUGCUUACAUUGAUAAGAUACUAGCUAGAUUUGGCAUGGAAUUACAUUCUCCAAAGAUCAGUCGCCUAAGACACCUGAGGAAAGAGAAAAAAAAAAUAAAGCGAGUUCCCUAUGCAAAAGUUGUGGGAAGUCUCAUGUAUGUCAUGCUAUGUACUGGACUAGACAUUUGUUUUGUAGUACGGAUGGUCAGUAGAUAUCAAUCUAAUCUUAGUCCUGAACACUGGACUGCAGUCAAGCAUAUGAUUAAGUAUUUGAAAAGAACUAAGAAUUAUAUGCUUGGGUAUUCUGGUGAUGAUCUCAUUCCAGUGGGUUACACUGAUUCUGACUUCAUGUCAGAUAAAGAUUUCAAAAAAUCAACUUCUGAUUAUGUGUUUAUAUUAUGAUAUGGAGCUAUAAGUUGAAGAAGUGUGAAACAAAGUUGUAUCGUAGACUCCACAACAAAAGCUGAAUAUAGGGCUGCAUCUGAAGCUGCUAAAGAAGUUGUUUGGCUCCGUAAGUUCCUACAAGAUCUUGAGGUGCACCUUUUAAACUAUUUUGUGAUAAUAGUAGAGCAGUGGCUCAGUCUAAGGAACCAAAAAACCACAGGAAGCAAAAACAUAUUGAAAGGAAAUACCAUCUCAUAAGAGAAAUAAUGCAGAGAGGUGAUGUAGAGGUUACCCAAAUAGACCUAAAAAAAAAAUGACAGAUAGUAUCAGAGCAGCUCCUCGUGUCCUCUUGAGCGAUAUUGGGGCAAACCUCAGCGAGGACGCUGAGUCCCUCAAGGCGGUGUAUGUAACACCCUAAGCGAAUCCCACAUCGGCAAAUCACGGGAGAGAUGUUGGGUUUAUAAGGGUGAUCCACACCUUAAUUGGCAAGACGCGUACUGGGGUGUAUAGGCGCCCCAGAAACAAAACCAUGCGGGCCUUGUUAAGGCCCAAAGCGGACAAUAUCUUGCCAAGAUUAGGUUGGGUCAUGACACUAACAACAUCUUCGAAGCUCAAAACCACUUAAAGUCUACUCCAGAGAGUAUUAUAUCCUGCACUAACAUAUUUCAAGUGACCCAUUGUUUUCAUAUUCUCCUAGUUCUUUAGUUUGUCUUCCUAGAAAAAUCAUAAUAAUGCCUAUAUAUAUACAUAUUAGUAUAUGAAUGCUCUCUUCUCUAAUCAAGCUAAAAACACUGACAAACAAGUCGUUGCUUCCUUGUUCUAUUGUAAGUUGUAAUUUGUUAUUGUCGUGCCAAACUUGCAUAAAUAUAAUUUUGGAAAAUAUGUUGUUAAGCAAAACUAAUAAAAGGUAGGUUCUUUAUUCCUCUAUUUCUAUCGGCCUAUUAUUAAACAUGAUGUGAAACUAACUCAUUCAUUGGCUGAGUUUUGUCAAUUCAAACUAUCUUUUAAUGUUUUUGCACAGAUGAAAUCCAAUUUAUCAAUAGAAAAGAAACUUAUAAACCAAUUUUAUAAAUGACUUAACUUAAGUAUUUCCAAUCAAACAAGCUUAAUUUUUAUAAGUUAAACCCUAAUUUAGAAAUAAAAAGUAAAUUGAGAAUCAAACCUACAGCUUGAAGAUCCAAGAGCAGUAUUCUUGCGCAGCGUAGUGAUUAAUGGGCUAUGGUGUCUGACAGUGUAGUGUUAGCGAAAUUGUGGUUCGUAUGACAGGAUGGUAAUAGAGUUGGUGUGUCUCACGGCAAAGCCAGCUAGCGUGAUAGUGAUAGAGUAAAGCUAGCUGGCCAAUUUUGUUGGCAAAUAGAGAUGAGCAGUGAUCAAGUGUUUUUCUAUUUUUUUCUUUGUUUUUGUUUUGUUAAAUGGCAAGAAACAUGUAUAAACCCAACCCCCUAUGGGUUUACUUUAUGCAGGUUUUGCCACAUCAUAAUGUUACAAUAUCUAAUAAAGCCCAAACAUGAUAUAGUAAUUUAUUAAUACAAUACAAACUCUUAAUACAGCAUUAUGAGUGCUACCAAACAUGCCUGUAGAACAUUAUAUCCAUCUUUAUCUGUCAAAAACUUAAGAAGAGGAAGUGAAUAUCCACAUUUGUAAAGUUGAUUAUCCAUGAUCACAUACCUUGCAAUUUGGUAUCUCACCUUCUUAUAUUCAUUCUUGUCCUUAGGUAAAGUUCCAUUCAUAAGCUAACUUAUGAUUGGAUCCAUCCAGAAAAUUCAAUGGUCAAUGGUUACUUUUUCAUUUUGUUCGAAUUUGAUUAUGCUUGGCUUUGGGAUGAUGACUACUAGAACUAAUCUUAGAAAGUUUUUCUCAGGCAAGAAAGCCAGUUGAGCCAAAGCAUCAAGUCGUGUGUUUUCCUUCUAAGAAAUUUGUUUUACCUUGUCGUUAAAGUCCCUUAGUAACUCAUUACCUUCAUCAAGAUAUGUAAUCAAGUUGAAAUCCCGAGCUGUAUAGUUGCAAUUCACUUGAUUAACCACUAAUUAUAGUCACUAAAAACAAGCAAAUCAUUUGCACGCAAUGCUCGAACUAACCUAAAGCUGGCAAGAAGAGCCUCAUACUGUACCUCAUUCUUAGUAACAUUGAUGCGAUAUUUAAAAGCACAUCUAAUCUCAAUGUUGUUUAGGGUGAUCGCUAUAAAUCCCUCACCACAUCAUCAUUUCCUAGAGGAUCUAUUACCGUAAAGAGGCCAUUUAUCAUGAUGUUCUUUUUCAAUAUCAAGUGAUAUUAUCACUUCUUUAAUAAAUUCAGCAAUAAAGUUUGUCACUACUUGUCUUUUUAAUGAUGUCCUACGAUAAUACAAGAUAUCAAACUCUCCAAGCUCAAUAAGCCACUUCAUCAUCAGGCUUAGCCAAGACUUGUUGAAUUAGUUGAUUAGUAAGAACAAUUAUGAUAUGAACAUACAAGUAAGGUCUUAGCUUUCUUGCUAAAACAAUCAAGGUUAGGACAAUCUUAUUAAGACUUAUGUAGUAUAUAGGCCUUUGCACUCCAUUAUCUUCUCAGAUAAGGAUAAAGUUAGUGGUGUGUUUAGACAUCACAAGAUAGAGAAGAAUGACUCAUCUUGGAUUAGCUUAACAAGCAAAAAGGGACUUCUUAAAUAUUCUUUAAGUUUUUUAAAAGCUUUUCCAUAUUCCUUUGUCUACUUCAUCUCGUUUCAUUUGCUAAGAGCCUUGAAGAAAUGAAAGCAGUUAUCUAUGGCUCGAGAGACAAAGCAAUUCAGGGCUGCUACUUGACCCGUCAACCUCUAAAUUUCUGUAACAUUCUUUGGAGACUUCAUGUUAACCAAUGCUUGAAUCUUCUCAAGAUUGAUCCCAAUACCUCUUUGAUUUACCAUAAAGCCAAAGAUUUUCUUAAUGAUAUACAAAUGCAUAUUUAGUUGGACUUAAUCUCAUUUUGUACUUCUUAAGAACAUUAAAGGUAUCCCAUAAAUCUUUUAAAUGAUCUUUAGGUGUAAAACUCUUGGUAAGCAUGUCAUCUACAUAAACUUCCAUAGUAUGCCCAAUUUGUUGAACAAAGGUAGUAUUUACUAAUCUCUGAUAGGUGACCUCUCUGAUAGGUGGCCCCAAUGUUCUUGAGUCCAAACGACAUAACUUUGUAGCAAUAAGGACCUCGAUUAGUGAUGAAGGUGGUCUUCUCUUAGUCAGGGUUCAUGCAUCAUUAUCUGAUUAUAUCGUGAGUAUGCAUCUAUAAAGCUUAGCGAUACAUGCCAAGUUGUUGCAUCUACUAAUUGAUCAAUCCUUGGUAAAGGAAAACAAUCUAUUGGAUAAGCUUUGUUAAGAUCAGUAGAGUUAAUGCACAUCCUCUAUUUUCUAUUAGUUUUCUUCACCACCACAAUAUUGGCUAAACACUUAAGAUAUCUUGCCCCUUGAUAAAACCAAGCUUAAAAAGUUUAUCUAUUUCUUCUUUCACAGCUAAAGAUCUUUCGGCAUUUAGGCUACUUCUUUUCUAUCAAAUCAAUUUUAUCUUUGGGUUAGUACUUAAUCAAUGGACUAUCACCCUAGGAUCAAUACUCAGUAUAUCUUUAUGUAUCUAAGUAAACACAUCGUGAUAUUCUUUGAGAAAUUUAACAAAUUUUUUCUUCAAUUGAUCAGUCAAUUGACAUCUACUACCUUAGUUAGAUCUUCACCAAGCAGAAAGUCAUCUAAGUCAUUAAUUAGACUUGCUCAUUGAUCAUCUUUGACUAUUCUAGGAUAAAGGCAUUUGAUUUGAAGAGUUUCAUUGCCCAUUCUAAAUGAUAUAUCAUAGCACUCCUUUACUUCCUUUUGCUCACCUUUCAGAACUUCAACUUCAACUUUAGUUGGAAACUUCAAUGUAUAAUGGUAAUUCAAAUCUUUCGCUUUUAUUAUACAAAGAUUUAGCGUUCUUAAGAUGGAGUUAUAGGAACUUGUUUGAUCAACUACAAUAAAAUUAACUAUAGCGGUUACAUUGGUCAAACAUUUUCCAAAGAAACUACGAGCUCGAUAACUCCAUUAGGAACUACACUUCCUUUGAUGAAUUCAUCAAGUGUAGCAGUGUAAGGUUUCAAUUGUGAUCUUUCCAACCCUACUCGGACAAAGGUUGACAAGAAUAAAAUCUCAACUGAACUCCCAUUAUUCAUGAGAAUUAGAUGGAGUUUGCUUGCCACAAAGAGGGUGAUAUCUAAUGCAUCACAAUGAGGAUGAUGAACUCCUCUAGCAUAAUUCUCGAAGAAUAUUAUUACUAUGUCAUCAACUAUUGUCACUUCCCAUUCCUGAGUAAAUUAUCCAGUUUCUUAGAUAACUAUUGAGUGCAUUAUUGUUUCCUCUGAAGUAUCUCCUCAAAUGUAGUAUUGCUCUCCAAAGGUUGCUAUUUGCUGAUUCAUCGAAAUAUGAUGACUCUUCCAAAACGAAAAUCAAUCUUAAGAUUAUAUAGGUAGCAAUAUAGAUCGUGCCAUAAUAGACUCGAUCUAGGAUAGUCUCAGUAGAUUUUUAAUAUAAAUAUCAUAAUUCUAAUUGGAAUAUACGUAUAAAAGAAAAAGGAACAUUGCAUAUAUUAUGGUGACUUACUGCAUCUAGAUAACAACUUAUCGUUAAUCAAAAGUUUCAACUUCAUUUAUCAAGUACUGCAGAGGUUGCUGCACCAUGCGUAUGGUUGCUUACCAUAUGAUGAGUGAACUUCUGUAUCGUUUGCAUUGUAUUUGUGUCUCCACUAUUUGUGAUUCAAAAUUUUCUUUUGAUGGGAGCACACUUGUGAUUAGCAAUUAAAUAAAUAAAAGAUUAUUAAAUAAAUUCCCACUAGAAAAUGAGACACCGUAGAUGGCUGUAUAUAUUUUUUUACUAAUUAUGUGAUCGUAAAAAAAAACAAAAAUUGAUGCCCAUCAUUCAAAAAUAAAUAAACUAUAAGUGAUUAAGACUAAUUUUUUUUAUCAUUUGCUAAUAAUGUCAGUGUUAAUCUAAGUUUUGUACUGAUCUUUUAAAAAAAUGUGACAGUAGUUAUUGGAGAAUUAAAUUUUAACCGUACAUUAAUAUUGUAAAAUACAGACAUCACAUAAGAUUGAUUAUUAAAACAUAAACACAACAAAUUGAGUAUCGAAUCAAAAUUUAAAUGUAAAACUUGCUUCGAAAUGAUCAAACGAGGUACAAUUCUUAGAAUUAAUGGGCAUUCACAGGCUACUUAUAGAACUCCAUAAC